GCAAACGCAGUGAUGGGAACGAAGGCAGUUCUACUGAGAAGCAGAGAUAUCACAGUAGAGCAGGGCCUGGAGCAUGUAGCGACUUGGAACUCUGGAAUGCUGAGAUCUAAUGACCUGAUGGAGGCCAUCAAAGCUUUCAUGGAGAAGCGGAAGCCUGUUUUCUCUAAGCUCUGAUGAUCUUCAUCAUGGGCGAAAAUUUAUAUGUGAACCCUAGCCACCUGAGAAUGAAAGUGAGAUGGUAGAAUGUAGACAAGAAAUAGUACAAUCUAUGAAUUUGGAAAACAAGUGCUCUUGUUAUCUGUAUCUUGUAUGCAUAUCAUAUCAUAUAUAAAAGGGAAUAAAACAAGGAUUUUAUGGUAUUUCCUUAGCACUACUGAUGUCCGUAUUGAUUAGUGAUAUGUUGUGAUGCCUAUAGAUUAACCAUUCCCACUUGUAGUGUGAUGCGCUUUUGCAGAGAGUUGAGUACCUUCACAAUAGGAGUGUGAUUUACCUGAUUUGAGGGACUGGAAAGUUCACGAGCUUAUUGUAUCUUGUUUUUUUUAGGAUAACCAUGCAUAUGUUCAUAGAACAACAAUGUUACAACCAAUCCACGUGAAAACAACAAGAAAGCACGAGAGAAGAACCGUGCCAAAACUCUGCAGAAAAACACCUCCAGCAAGAAAUAGCCACUAAGUAUCUGGGUUGGGUGAACAAGACCAAUGAGAAACUGACGGCGGUAUAAGUUGAAUUUCAGUCCUGAAGAGGUGAGUUUGGUACUCUGAUGUUAUCGCGGUACCAACCCCCUUUGGUUACCAUGUCAAUUUGUUUUUAUCUAUAGCUCUUAUGUGUUUUAAGUUUGCCAAAUUUAGCUUACAGCAUUUUCAAGUCCGGUUAUUAUUUAAACCAGAAAUUAGUACAUCGCUUACUUAAUCGAUCUGCAAUGAAUUUUUGCAUGUGGUUUAACAAGGUCACAUACUGAAAAACAAAUUAACCCACGUCUAAACGCCUGUCUGAAAAUAGCUCCAAAAUAAUUUGGGUGACUCCCACAUGCACCCUCUGUAAAAAUAUUAGUAGAGGGAAUACCACGUUAUGACUCGAAAAUUCGAAUCUGAGCCCGAGCUCAUCUGCACCUGCGCUCACGAAAAAAAUCAAAAUAAAUACUAGAAAAAUUCAAAAAAUUCCAAAAAAAAAUUAGGGUGGUAGACAAUUUGAUGCGUGAGGUACGCUUUAAUUUUCAAAACAUUUGGACUUCUGUGCAGCUCUCGAGGUUUGGGCAUGUCCUCGACAGUCAGAGAAUUGCGCACUUUAGUGCAAACACAUGCUCCUACUGUGCUCUGUGUAGUGGAAACCCAGCUUCACAGAACUAGAGUAGAAAAAUUAGCACCAUUGCUUGGUUUUAAGAAUGGUUUUGCAGUUAGCAGUACAGGUCGAUCUGGUGGCCUGGGUAUGUACUGGAAUGAUGAUGUUAAAAUUGAAAUAUUACCAUAUUCACAGUAUCACAUGGAUGCGAUUGUAACUGGGUUGGAAGGGGGCUCAUGGAGACUUACGUGUGUGUAUGGGGAGGCACACGUGGCGGAAAGACAUAAAACGUGGGACAUGUUGAAGUUUAUAAGAGCAUCUUCGGACUUGCCGUGGAUGUGUAUAGGGGAUUUUAAUGAAGUCUUACACAGACACGAGCACGUUGGAGUGUUGGAGAGAAGUUAUGCCCAGAUGUCUGGCUUCCGAGAUAUGUUGGAUGUGUGUGGCCUGGCUGAUCUAGGUUACAAGGGAAAUUCCUGGACCUUUGAGAAGCGAGUUACCGGGGGCAGUUUCUGUAGAGUUCGCCUGGACAGAGCCUUAGCUUCUCCGGACUGGAGUUCGAGAUAUCCUGACGCUACUUUGUUCCACCUUGUAGCAGCUGGAUCGGAUCAUUGCCCAAUACUACUCAGGCUUUCUGGACAUGUGGAGCGGCAUCCAAUUGGAAAAAAGAACAAGUUGUUCAGGUACGAGGUUAUGUGGGAGUCUCAUGACUCUUUCUCGCCAUUGUUAUCUAAUCUUUGGCAGGGAAAGGGAAAGGCCACCACAUGUGGCGAGCUACAGCACAAGCUGGAAUCCAUCUCGACCAAGUUGCAAUCUUGGGAACGUGACACCUUUGGUAGUGUUAAAAGGCGAAUCAGCGAACUUACCACUGAGCUGGGAAGACUGAGAGCUGAUCCGAUCCGGGUUGGCCCUAGUCAUGCGGAGAUAAAGAUCAGCAACAUGCUCAUUGAAUUACAACAGAGAGAGGAGGUGAUGUGGCGCCAAAGGUCGAGGAUCCAAUGGUUGUCUGAAGGUGACAAGAAUACAAAAAAUUUUCAUCUCCGUGCUAGUCAGAGAAGGAAGAAAAAUCGUAUUACUCGGUUGAGGAGGGAAGAUGGAGCGUACACGGAGGAUGAGGCAGAAAUGUGUGCGCUCGCAAUAGCCUUUUAUACUGACCUAUAUGGGUCCGAGGCGACUCACGGCUUGGAGGAGGUUCUAAAUGUGGUACAGACCAGGGUGACACAUGACAUGAACGAGCUGUUGGUCGCCCCUUUUGAUGGAAAGGAGGUUAGGACGGCAUUAUUCCAGAUGUUCCCGACCAAGUCUCCUGGUCCGGACGGGUACCCGGCACACUUUUUCCAGCGCCAUUGGGCAGUGUGUGGGGAGGAAGUUACCAUGGCAGUGCUACGGUUACUGCGAGGUGAGGAAGAUAUGGCAUCUAUUAAUCAAACCUUUUUAGUGCUGAUUCCUAAAGUUGCCAGCCCGGAAGAUCUUAGCCAGUUCAGACCUAUAGCAUUGUGCAAUGUUUUAUACAAAAUUGCCUCAAAGGUUUUGGCGAAUCGUUUGAAGAUAAUCCUCCCGGAGAUUGUAGCAGAGGAGCAGUCGGCAUUUGUUCCUGGGCGCCUUAUUACAGAUAACAUUAUUACUGCUUUUGAAUGUCUACAUUUUAUGAAGGGAAACAAAGCAAAGAAGAAUAAUUUCUGUGCUCUCAAGCUGGACAUGAGGAAAGCUUAUGACGGAAUUGAGUGGAGCUACCUACGUGCAAUCAUGUCCAAGCUUGGUUUUCACCAACAGUGGGUUGAUAUGGUAAUGAGGCCUGUCUCAACAGUCUCUUUUUCCAUUCUCUUCAAUGGUGUGAAGUCUGAAAAGUUUGCCCCCUCCCGAGGUUUAAGGCAAGGUGAUCCAAUAUCUCCGUAUUUGUUUUUGUUAGCAGCAGAGGGCUUAUCAAGCCUCAUAAAAGAUCGUUGUGAAUCAUCAGCUCUUCAAGGUGUAAAAGUGGCAGAGUCAGCACCGGCGAUAAGCCACUUACUGUUUGCAGAUGAUUGCCUGCUGUUUUUCAAGGCAAAUCUGGAGAGUGUGAAUCACAUUCGGGAUGUUUUGGAAUUAUAUUGUAAUGCGUCAGGGCAGCGAGUAAAUCUGGACAAAUCGUCCAUUUUCUUCAGCAAGGGGUGCUCGGAGGCAUUGAGACAUGAUAUUAAAGAUUGGCUUGAUGUCCACCAGGAGACCCUGAAUGAGAAAUACCUAGGAAUGCCAAUUGACGUGGGGCGAGAUAAAAAUGGUAAACUCCAGUUCUUGAAAGACAGAAUAUGGAAGCGGGUGCAGGGUUGGUUUGAGAAGACAUUGUCAGCAGCAGCUAAAGAUGUCCUCAUCAAAUCUGUAGCGCAGGCAAUACCCACUUACUCGAUGUCAUGUUUCAGGUUACCAAGAGGCUUAUGCCAGGAGAUCAAUUCCAUCCUACGUAAGUUCUGGUGGGGAUGUAAAGCUGGUGAACGAAAAGCUUGCUGGGUGGCAUGGUCGGAUAUGACAAAGCCACGGUACAUGGGAGGACUAGGGUUUAGGGACAUAGAAUUGUUCAACCUAGCUCUUUUAGCUCGUCAAGCAUGGCGGGUUCUACAAUCACCAGAUAGUUUGAGUGCGAGGAUACUCAAAGCGAGAUACUUCCCAGCAACAGAAUUCUUGCAAGCAGAUUUGGGCUCGCGACCGUCGCAGGUAUGGCGAGCCAUCCUUGAUGGGAGAGAUACUCUAAAGCAAGGGAUAAUUAAGAGAAUUGGUACGGGCGAAGCUACCGAUCCAUGGAAUGACAACUGGCUGCCCCGAGAUGGAAGACUACGACCUAUUGCUUGCCUGGCGGCGCAUGCCCCUUCCAGGGUGAGUGAGUUCAUUGAUCGUACGUCAGCAACAUGGAACUGUGAGAAGCUUAAGGAGUGUUUCCUGUCGAUGGAUGUGGAGGCGAUUCUGAACCUCCCUUUGUCGACCAGGAACCAGCAGGACGAGUGGGCUUGGCACUACGACCGCAAAGGGGUUUUUACAGUUCGAUCAGCAUACAAGAUGCUUGUGCAUACCAAGACAACAAGGGAAGCUUGGCUGGAGGGGUCAGCUGCUUCGUCUGAUACAAAAAGGUAGAAAAAUAGUGGACUUCCCUUUGGCGAAUCCAAGUUCCAUCCAAAAUAAAAGUUUUUUUAUGGAGGCUAGCAAAGCACUCUCUCCCGACGAGUGAUGUUCUUAAACAUAGAAAUAUGGCAGUGGAAGAUAAAUGUGCAGUGUGUGGAGAAUAUGACUCGUGGAAGCAUUCGUUGAUCGAGUGUACAAUGGCUAAAUGCGUUUGGGCUUUGGCAUCAGUGGAGGUUGCGGAACAGGUCUCCAUGACGCAACAAGGGAAUGCGAGGGACUGGAUUUUUGAGCUCAUUGAAAAAUUACCCUCUAGUGAAAUGACAGAGGCGUUUGUCUCCCUAUGGGCUAUCUGGCACGCAAGGCGGAAGGUAAUUCAUGAAAAUCUAUUCCAAAGUCCAUUAUCUACUCAUUGCUUCAUCAGGAGUUUCAUGGAAGAUCUAGGUGUGGUACAGAGCAAGAUGAAUAACAAGGUACAAGCAAGACAAGUGGAGACCAAUGUCCAGCAAUGGAUCCCCUCACCAACCGGCUGGACGAAGGUAAACGUGGACGGAGCCUUGGGAAAACUUGAUGACAAGGCUGCCGUUGCAGCUGUAGCACGAAGCUGUGAAGGUGAAUUCUUGGGAGCUUUUUCUGUUGUCUUCAUAGGAAUUUCAGAUGCAGAAACCGUUGAAGCUCUUGCGAUAAGGGAGGCUCUCUCAUUGGCGGACGACUUGCUUACUCGAAGAGUUAAGGUGGCUUCUGAUUGCCUUAGGGUGAUCAAUACUAUGAAUGAGGACUCCAAACCAGUAUAUUAUCACAUCACACAGGAGAUUAAGGCCAGAGGUGCGCAGUUGGAUGGCUUUGUUUUUUGUCACGAGAAACGCAGUUCAAACUUUGAAGCUCACAGGCUUGCUCGAUCAUCACUUAAGUAUAAUGUUGGCCGGUUUGUCUGGCUACUAGAUCCGCCUGAGGGCUUAUGUAUACCUAGAACUCUUGUGAUAUAAUGUCUGGAGGGGUACUUUACCUUCCUCAAAAAAAAAGGUUAUGGGUCCCGGUGGCAGUCAGUAAAGUAGCAGUAUGUUUCAUUUUGCUUUUAGCUGCCUUAUUUAUUUUACCAGCUGAAAACUCACGGGAAAAUCGUUGUAAGGGAAACAAGAUUGAUGCUGCAUUAUACACGAACGGGUCGAGGCAGCAUCGUUAGACCUCACUAUGUGCAUUCUAAAACCAAACCGAAAUACCAUGUCGCAAAUAAACUUAACCGAAAUACCAUAUCAAAAUAAACCGAACCAAACCAAAUUUACGGUUUUUAUAGCUAGCAGUUUUGGUAUGGUAUGAACUUUCCAUGUCGUUCUAAUUUUGGUUUUUAUGGUGGAUAACUAAAAACGAGCGGUUAACCGAAUAAGUCGUAGUAAAAAAAUAUUUAUAUUUCUUGAGAUGGACAACCAUACAAGUAGUCAUUUUUUGGUACAUCUUUUUUUAGGGUAUGGAUAGGUUUCAGUCGACUCGGAGUGACAUAACAUGUAAGAAAGAAAAAAAACUAAAAAAAUCACACAGAUCUUCACGUAAGAUCUCAUGAACAUAACAUUGACAAAGACUUGGUUAAGUCUUGGUCAAAUGAGGUUUAGUAAUCCCAUUUUUUGUAACGUUGUCAUAUUGCUCUUCAAAAGAUUGCUAACCACGUCCAUAACCAUCUAAUCCAUGCUGGCAUAUAUACUUGUAUAUAGUUUAUACUAUUUGAAUUAAGAAAUAUGUCUUUUAAGUCAUAAAUUUGUAAAUAUUAUGUGUCAUUUUCAAAUUCGCGUCAACUUUGGUUUUUAUGAUACAUACCGAAGCCAUACAAAAAUAAUUUGGUAUAUACCGAAACCAGACCAUAUUUAAAUUUCAUAUCAUAUUUAUCAAAAUAUUAAUACCGUACAAACCAAAAAUUUCUAUAAACCGAGUCAAGUAAACCGAAUGCGCGGAGUUAGUUAGAGCAUCUCCAAUAGAUGGUGUAGAUGUAAAAAUAACCGAAAUAUGCAUCACUUAGGCUCAAAACGUGUCUCCAACAAGUGAUGUAGAUGAAAAAAAUACUCAAAUUUUACAUCCGACUGAAAUGCAUCACCAAGUGAUGCAAAUACAUUACUUGGGAUCUACAGAUGUAAAAUGAUCAACCGCCAAAAAGCGAAAGUUCCCGCCGCCCGCCCUCCCUUCCUCCACCCCCCGCACGUCGGCCACCGCCAGGCCCCAUGGUCAACUCCACCAACCCAACCGCUGGUCUGACGCACCUCGCCAUUGUCGCCGACAGCGCUACAAACUUCCCCGUUGCUGCUUCUGCAUCCAUGAUGCCCCUAUCCCGUCGCACCCGAUUUACUCCAUCACAGCCCGUCGCACCCGAUUUACUCCAUCACAGCCCGUCGCAGGAGCAUGCUUGUGCAGAAGAAGAAGCGGCCCACGGCCAAAUCCCGUGGUGGCGGCGCGCAACCCCACCGUGUCGGUGAAAAAGAACAAGGCGGUCGCGACUGCUUCGGCCACUUCGAUGCCGCCGCAGGCCGCGGCAACUACCCCUGGAGAUGGCACGUCGUCCCUGCCACCAUCGCAAGCCAUGUCGUCGUGGAGGAAAACCUGCCUGCGACCACCGCCUCCAACAUGCUCGACGAAAAUGUCGCAAAGGUAAAAAAUUUCCUUUUUAUCUGUUCUUUUUCUCAUGUCCCAUAUGAAUAAAAAUGCGAGAUUGUGUGUACGUGCAUUUGUAGUCUUGAUGAUGAGGCAUUCAUGCGCAUGACAAAUGUUGCAAACGAAGAUUGUUUCUCUCAAUGGCAUGCAUCACAAUAAAUAUGAUACUCAACUUGAUGGUGAUAAUCUCGAGAUCUCUCGGUUGUUAUGUUGACAAUGAAAAUAUACCGUUCAAAAUAUUAUUCAUCCCUAUUUCAAAAUCGAGCUCUGACGCCUCUACAAAUCCCUGCCUCCCUCUGCGGAGGGCUUAUAUAUUUACUUUUAUGUUGAGUCAUCACCCUCUUAUUAAAAAGCACCAGUUGGAGACACUACAAAAAAAAGACACAUCCGUGACAUUUUGGGCUGAACGAAUAUUUUUUCUGUCAUACAUAUGACACUUCUAUGACGAUAAUUGUGACAAAACCCGGUAUCAUCAUAGAUGUGGUGGGCUCCUACUUCUAUGACAAAAAAUCAUGACAGAAAAUGGGCUUUUCGUCCUAGGCGGGCCGGAGACACAGCUGCAUGACAUUCUUUGGGCCUUCCAUGACGGAAAAAACCAUGGUAGAAGCGAGUGGGAGGAAAAUUUAGGGGAGUUCCCGGUUACGGUGGGAGGUGGGGCGCCGAGCGAUGCGCGUUUCUCUCGUACACGUACGCGCGUGUGUGCGAGGCGUUGGCUCUAACUGAACCCGAGCGAGGCGUUGGGCUCUAACUGAACCCGAGCGAUUGCACUGCAGGCUACGCGUUACUGAACCCGAGCGAUCGAUCGAUGGCUGUUAACUAAAUCCGAUCGAGUGAUUCCUUGGCUACUGCUGCUAACUGAAGCCGAUCGAUGGGAUGAACAGUGAGCGUUGCGNNNNNNNNNNNNNNNNNNNNNNNNNNNNNNNNNNNNNNNNNNNNNNNNNNNNNNNNNNNNNNNNNNNNNNNNNNNNNNNNNNNNNNNNNNNNNNNNNNNNNNNNNNNNNNNNNNNNNNNNNNNNNNNNNNNNNNNNNNNNNNNNNNNNNNNNNNNNNNNNNNNNNNNNNNNNNNNNNNNNNNNNNNNNNNNNNNNNNNNNNNNNNNNNNNNNNNNNNNNNNNNNNNNNNNNNNNNNNNNNNNNNNNNNNNNNNNNNNNNNNNNNNNNNNNNNNNNNNNNNNNNNNNNNNNNNNNNNNNNNNNNNNNNNNNNNNNNNNNNNNNNNNNNNNNNNNNNNNNNNNNNNNNNNNNNNNNNNNNNNNNNNNNNNNNNNNNNNNNNNNNNNNNNNNNNNNNNNNNNNNNNNNNNNNNNNNNNNNNNNNNNNNNNNNNNNNNNNNNNNNNNNNNNNNNNNNNNNNNNNNNNNNNNNNNNNNNNNNNNNNNNNNNNNNNNNNNNNNNNNNNNNNNNNNNNNNNNNNNNNNNNNNNNNNNNNNNNNNNNNNNNNNNNNNNNNNNNNNNNNNNNNNNNNNNNNNNNNNNNNNNNNNNNNNNNNNNNNNNNNNNNNNNNNNNNNNNNNNNNNNNNNNNNNNCGGUACGCCACACCCCUCCCGAUCAACAGGACCCCCGUUUCAACCGUAGGAGGUCCGUUUCCUCCGUUUUGCGGUACGCCACACCCCUCCUGAUCAACAGGACCCCCGUUUCGACCGUAGGAGGUCCGUUUCCUCCAUUUUGCGGUACGCUACACCCCUCCCGAUCAACAGGACCCCCGUUUCGACCGUAGGAGGUCUGUUUCCUCCGUUGUGCGGUACGCCAGGCCUCGUUUCCAUGGCCUCUUCCGUCCAAGCCCUCCCGAUGAACACGACCACGCAUUCCGUUUCGACCCAUGAACACGACGACGACGUUGUUUCUCCGUUCCGACCCAGCCAUGUACACGAGCCCUCGCCGUACGUAUGCGCGAGUAGGCGUUCGAGACCCCGCUCGUAUGUACACAUACAUGGCCGUAUUUUCUUUCUUGCACCUGGCCGCUGUACGUACGUGUACAUGCUACGUGCGCGCCUCUACUACGACACGUGUGCGCCUCUACUACGACACGUGCGUGCCUCUACAUCGACCAGUAUGUACGUACAUGUUCGCGACCAGAAUGUCAAUGCUACGUACGCUUCAACCAGGUGGGUCCCGACUGUCAGGCACUUCCUUGCCUGCGAAGAUGUAGCUGGUGGGUCCCAACAGUCAGGGGGCGAAUCAUUUUUUUUUGCCCAGACGCACUUCCUUGCGUGCGAAGAUGUAGCUGGUGGGUCCCAGCAGUCGGGGGGCUGGUGGGUCCCAGCAGUCGGGGGGCUGGUGGGUCCCAGCAGUCAGGGGGGCGAAUCGUUUUGUUUUUUUGCCCGGACGCACUUCCUUGCAUGCGAAGAUGUAGCUGGUGGGUCCCAGCAGUCAGGGUGGCGAAUCGUUUUUUUUUGCCCGGACGCACUUCCUUGCAUGCGAAGGUGUAGCUGGUGGGUCCCAGCGUCAUGGGGGAAACAUUUUUUUCACGAAAUACGGUGGCCCGUCCGGUGGGACCCUGCUGUCAGGUGGAGGAAUCAUUAUUUUCCGUGUAAUAAGGAGGCACUUCCUUGCUGCCGCCGUGGACCCAGCUGUCAGCCUCUCCACGUACAGUCCAUAUCCGAUGGCAGUCGUUCCUUGACCAUGUUGACCACGCCGUGUCGAGAGCACCAGGGCGGUGGACGACGGCGAGGCCUAGGAAGGGGACGACACGGAGGCAGGGAAGACUCGACAGUUGUUUCCCACGCGGAGGGGAGUAUGACUGUACGAGGGUUUACUGGUUCGUCUGCCGUCGCCGGAGAAUAACAGCAGGUGUGGGUGAGUAGAGGGAUGGCUAGGCCAGCGAUGGGAGUACGGUCGGGCGGUGAGGCCUACGCGGCAGCACAGCCGGCUGCUCGGAGGAGGGAGCAGGCAGUCCCGCCGGCGCUUGUUUGAGCGGCUGGAGCAGAAAGAGCAGAGAUUGAAGAAGCACGACCGCCGUUGGAUGAACAUCCAACAGUCAAUGCUUGUGCAUCAACUUUUUUUUAGGAAAGCCUCAAAUCCGUGGAAAACAGCAUAUAGCCCAUCUGCCAUUAUUUCUAAUAAUUUAUAGCCCAUUUGCUAAUUCUUAAGGUUUUCUUUGGAGCCCAUAUUUUUUGUUAGCAUUACAGCCCAUAUUGUGGCAACGGUUAAAAAAUUAUACGAAAUUUUGCAUAUUUCGGUGCGGUCCGAACUGUUUUUAAUCCCGAAAUUUCGACUCACAUUCAAACUAAUUUUAAAAAUAAAUGUAUAUCAAUAUAAAAUCCAACAAAUUCUCCAUGCAUAAAAAUUAAUGUCAUUUAAAAUCUUGAAAUGCAAAAAAAGAUAUUUGAAACUAAUUACCGGUUUGAUGUGUUUUAAAAAUGUACAACCCAUUUCUCAUUACUGAUGGAUCAUUUUCUCGGCCAGCCGAAUGAAAGCUCUCCUCGUCUUGAAAGAUUUGCAGCCCAACAGGCCUGACAAAGUGACUUACUUGGCAAAUCACAAAAAAAACUGGGUUGUGGCCGUGGACCCAGCUGUCAGCCUCUCCACGUACAGUACUCUUCCGAUGGAAGUCGUUCCUUGACCACGUCGCGCGGAGAGCACCACGACGAUGGACGACGGCGAGGCCUAGGAAGGGGACGACGCGGCAGUGGAAGCCCGCGCGGAGAGGACUAUGAGAGUUCACUGGUUCGGCUGCGGUGUGAGGCUGCCGUCGUCGCAGGGCCUGGCCGGCGGUGGGAAUAGUAGGGGGCAGUGAGGCCUCUGCGGCAGCACAGCCGGCCAUGGGAGGCAGGAGCAUGUGGCACGACCGGCGCUGCUUUGGGCGGCUGGAGCAAGAAGACCAGAGGUUGAAGAAGCACUACGGCCGUUGGAUGGACAUCAUACGGUCACUGGAGUUAGAAUCGUUCAUAUUGACUAAGUUGACAAACCCUUCAUCCCCGUCAACUUAGUAGGCCCACAAGUCAGCCUCCCAGCAAGGUGGGUCCCAGCUAGCCGGGGGAGUAUUCAUUUUUUUGUGCGUAAUAAGGAGGCACUUUCGGUGGGUCCGAGCUGACAACGGGGGGAACGUUUUUUUCACGAAAUAGGUGGCCCGUCCGAUGGGUCCCAGCAGUCAGGGGGAAGCGAUUUUUCGCAAAAUAAUGGUGGCCCGUCUGGUGGGUCCUCGCUGUCAGGUGGAGGAAUAAUUAUUUUCCACGUAAUAAGGAGGCACUUCCUUGCGGCUGCCGUGGACCCGGCUGUCAGCCUCUCCAUGUACAGUACUCUUCCGAUGGAAGUCGGUCGUUAACCACAUUGACCAUGCCGCACCGAGAGCACCACGGCGGUGGACGAUGGUGAGGCCUAAGAAGGGGACGACGCGGAGUCAUGCAAGACGCGGCAGUGCAUGCCCACGCGGAGAGGAGUACGAGCGUUCACUAGUUCGGCUGCGGUGUGAGGCUAUCGUCGCCGCAGAAUAACAGGGCAUGUGAGUGAGUGGAGGGAUGGCCUGGCUAGUGGUGGGAGUAGUAUGGGUGCGGUGAGGCCUCCGCGGUAGCACAGCCGGCCACGGGAGGCAGGAGCAGGCGGCACGACCGGCGCUGCUUUGGGCGGCUGGAGCAAGAAGACCAGAGGUUGAAGAAGCACUAUGGCCGUUGGAUGGACAUCAUACGGUCACUGGAGUAUUGACUAAGUUGACAAAGCUCUCCGUCCCUAUCAACUUAGUAGGCCCACAAGUUAGCCCAACAAUAUGGUGGGUCCCAGCUAGCAGGGGGUAUUCAUUUUUUUGGGCAUAAUAAGGAGGCACUUCCUUGCGUGCGAAGAUAUAGCUGGUGGGUCCGACCUGUCAGCGGGGGGAACAUUUUUUUCACGAAAUACAGAGGCCCUUCCUGUGGGUCCUAGCUGUCAGGUGGAGGAAUCAUUAUUUUGUGUGUAAUAAGGAGGCAUUUCCUUGCGUGCGGUCGUGGACCCAGCUGUCAGCCUUUCCACGUACAGUCCACUUCCGAUGGAUGUCGUUCAUUGACCACGUUGACCAGGCCGCGCCGAGAGCACCAGGGCGAUGGACGACGGCGAGGCCUAGGAAGGGAACGACACGGAGCCAGGGAAUACUCGGCAGUUGUUUCCCACGCGGAGGGGAGUACGACUGUACGAGGGUUUACUGGUUCGUCUGCCGUCGCCGGAGAAUAAUAGCAGGUGUGGGUGAGUAGAGGGAUGGCUAGGCCAGCGAUGGGAGUACGCUCGGGCGGUGAGGCCUGCGCGGCAGCACAGCCGGCCGCGCGGAGGAGGGAGCAGGCAGUCCCGCCGGCGCUUGUUUGAGCGGCUUGAGCAUGAAGAGCAGAGAUUGAAGAAGCACGACAGCCUUUGGAUGGACAUCCAACAGUCAGUGCUCUCGUGUGUUGACUAAGUUGACAGGGCGUUGCGUGUGCGUCAACCUUUUUUUUAUGAAAGCAUACGCGUCAAACUGUAGUAGGCGCACAAGUCAGCCUCAAAUCUGUGGAAAACAGCAUACAACCCAUCUGCCAUUAUUUCUAAUAAUGUACAACCCAUUUGCUAAUUCUUAUGAAUUUUUUUGGAGCCCAUCUUCUUUUUGUUAGCAUCACACCCCAUAUUGUGGCCACGGUUAAAAAGUAUACGAAAUUUUGCAUAUUUUGGUGCGGUUAACUAUUUUUAAUCCAGAAAUAUCGAUUCACAUUCAAACUAUUUUGAAAAAUAAUUUAUAUAAAUAUAAAAUCCAAAUAAUUGUCCACGCAUAAAAAUCAAUGGAAUUUAAGAUCUUGUAAUGAAAAAAAUUGAAACUAAUUCCCGGUUUGAUGUGUUUAAAAAAUGUACAACCCAUUUUUGGGCAAACCGAAUGAAACUCUCCCCGUUUGAAAGAUUUGCAGCCCAGCAGGGCCGAUAAAGCAAGUAGGCCUUGUUUGGGUAUUUCUUUUAAAAAAUAGAACUGGACUAGCCAUUUUUAGCACAAAAAAAACACAACUGGGCUCAUGAUGUGGUAAACAUAAAUAAAACCCUGGCUAGAUUGGCCACAGCCCCCGCACAGCCCCGUUGUUACCCUGAUCCGUCGCUAAAACUAGUAUAAAUAACAAUUGCUUGUUCCUCAAAAAAAACUGCGCGACUUGUUGGGUCCCUGGUGUCAGCCGCUCGUAGUGUAAUUCUCUCGUUUAUUGACUAUGUUGACAAUGGCGUGAGCCCCAGAUGUCCAGCCUUUCCUAUGAAAAUUUAGAGCCCAUUUGAUGUGCUAAUUCGAAAUAAGUUUAUGGGUGCUGGUGGGGGCUAAUCACUUGGCUUCUGUAAUGCACAGUGAGCUCAAGCAGCCGGCGAGAGUGAUGUUAUUUCCCUUGGUUUGGAUUUGUUACAAUAUUUCACUCUAAAUUAAACGAAUGGCAAGCCAUUUGCCUUAUUUCAAAGAAAAUAUGACAGUCACAGCCGAGUUAAAAAGGGCAGGAACAUCUAACUCCAGCUUACAAACUGUACAAAAGCACGAGGGUUAAUUGUUCAUCAGGUUUACAAAAAAACCAGAUUGAAAAGGGCAACAACAUCUAACUCCAAGCACUGUUUUCGGCAGUCACAGCCAAAUGGAUCGGUCAGGUCCAUAGAAUAAACAUCCUGGGUCAUAAAAUUUACUGGAUUGUGACCACAAUAUGUUGUAAAUAGAAGCCCGACACGUACAGAAGCUCUUUUUCCCACCUGAAACUCCUUUUUUUGCUCUUCGACAUACCCAUCCGUCAAAACCAUGCUGCUGAUAAACUUAAGCCUGAUGGACAAUAGUAACCUCACAUUCAGUAGGAAGAAUGUGACAAAUCUUGUGUUUGCACGGUUGGCUACAUAUCGUUCUAGCGUUAUUGUCUUCAAUCGAAUCUCAUGAGAAGUGAGAAAAUUCCGAUGCUUACGAAUCCGCCGAUUGGCUAUCACUUUCUUACCCCGUCCUAUUGCCUAAAUAGACAUGAAGAUUGAAAACAGUUAAGGUCUAAAAGAAGAGUGUUGAAAGAGCAACAGCUAAACGGUUAAUUCUAGUACACUAUAUGCAGGCUUCCAAUGUGCGUGAAAUUAUCACCUUUAUAUACAACUUCUCCAGACAUGGAAAGCAUUGCAGCAAGCCAACAAUCUUGUUCAGAUCAAAACUAUUCAUUUGGAUAUAUAAGAUCUUGAUAGAAUCCAGCACCAUUGAUAGGCCAUCCAUGGAGAAACUCUUCAUUGAGCAUAGAACAUAAUAUUAGUACAAAAUAUGUAGUCCAAGAUGAUAUACAAAUUAUGCGCAGAAAUUUAAAAUGCAGCUUAUGGUUACAAGUGUAGAUGAUAAUAUAAAGUACCUGAAGAACUGUGGAGCCAAACACCAUAUUGAAAUGAGCACAGAGAUCAUGUAUUACACCCAAGGUCUCCAGUUUAGGCGCAGAGAGGACGGUUAUUUGCAACGUUGAAUAACUAGAAUCAAGGAUCAACCUUUGAAGUGAAGGUGCAUCUUGGAUGAUGAGCUGCCUUCCGUCAAAAGAAAUUCCAAUUCUUACAAGGUUAGGAGACUUUAUUUGGAGACAACCAAUAUUAACUGUGAAAACAAGCACCAAGCACUCCAGCGCAGGGCAACUGGAGUGGAUGAUGCUGUGCAAUGAGGCCUCCGAUAUACGAACCCGCACAGGUGAAAGUUUCUUGAGAAAUGGGAGUCGAAGGUUUAGUACCAGAUUGUCUGGUAGGUAGCACUGCGCAAAGGUGGCGGUGUGGAGAGAGGGCGAAAACCCCGAGAUGGACAUCGGUGCUGAGGGCACAAGUUCAUGGCGUUCGGUAUGUGGUAUGUGAUUUCCAGGGGAAUAUUAGAACUCAAGCAACUGUAGUUCUGUGAAUUCAGGGGAUUCUAGCCAGGCGUCCACCGUGCCGGGCAUGGUAUGCUUACUCAGGUAGCAUGACGGGAUGCAGAGACUUUGAACGGAGCCCUGGUGGGAGGAGAUGAUGGCUCUGGGGAUUUCAAAAUUAUUGAAGAGAGAUAGCUGACGACAGUCGAGAUUAAGGGGAAUGGCGCGCCAUAGAGGGCGCCACCAAAUUGAGAGGAUUUGGGUGCGGCAGCAAUCCUUGGUGGGGACAAGCGAGAUGAUCUCCCCAAGGAUGGCGUCCGGGAGACCGCUGAUGCGGUCCACCCGAGAUCUACGGGUUUCUGGGAUUCGGUGGAGGUGGGGUCGCCGCUUCUCCCACCGCUGCCGGGUGCGGGAUCUACAACAGGCGUCGCCACUGGCGGGAGCCUCAUCUUCUUGGCGCUGGGGUCAGCCGACUCCAUUUUCCUCGAGGGCGUCGCGUCGCGCUCACGGAUUUGAGCAGAGUAACGAAUGAUGAGCCUAGUUGUAGUGCGAGCGAAGAAGAAGGGAAGCUGGGGGUUUUCUGUAGGAGUGAGGAAGAAGGGGAGCUGGGGUUUUCUGUAGGAGCGAGGAGGAAGAAGAGCACCCAGUUUUUUUUUGGGGGGGGGUGUUGGGUGUGGGUAGCGCAUCUCAUUCAGUAAAUAUAUGGGCUUUUGAAUUGAUUUUACUAUUUACUAGUGUGGAUGGGCUGUUUUGUCUUGGGACCCGAGAAACAAUUACUAGUACAAUGGAGACACUCUACAGCUACCCAGAAAAACAAUUACUACUAGUACAGUGGAGAUACUCUACCGCUUCUGGCUCCUCCUAGGUCAUUGAAACUUCUCCCUCUACUGAAUGCCGUUAUACUUUUGUUCACCGACAUGCGGGCCAUGCAGCGCGCGGGCCCAAAUGCCAUCCACCAAAUUAGAAGGCAGUAUGCAGGCGGAGAGUCACCCUGGUCGUAGUGCGGUAGUAAUGAGCCGUCGUAUCACAAAACCCCACCUCCCCGCAGUCUAAGUUUGAUGGACGAAGCAACCAUCAUUUCACUCUUCGCCGAAUCCCCUUCUCCCUCACCGUCUUCAAGAAAGGCAACACUUGCAUCUGCCACUGUUCUUCUCUCCGAACGAAGGGAAGGUAAGCGGAUCCGUGAUGUUGGUAUAUUUUCGUUCAGAGGAAAAAAAAGGAACUUUUGCUAAGCAGUAACCGAUCCUCACUCUCUUUUUUGUUUCAUUGUCAUUGCGAUUGUGUUUUCCUUUCAGUGGUCUCCUAGUAUUCGUCAGUUUCAUGAUGGACCAAGGAGAACCAGGCAAAGAUCUGCCGAUAUUGGAGCAGACGCGGGAGGCUGAUCCCCACGAGACAGAGAGCUCCAAGAAGAUGGAGGCAACCACCGAGGCGACCCCAGAUACUGAGAUUGUCAACGCCCCGUUUGAGGUUACAGCCCUCGUGGCACUACAGGAGCAGUUUUCCCCCUUCGAGGAUGUGUCCCCCCCGCUGAGCUGCCCAAGGUGAUUUCCUUCUUUGCUGAUCUCGAUUGUGGUUUUUCAUCUAAGUAUGUGGUGUUUUUUUAGAAAAGGAAGUAUGUGGUGAUUAAUAAUGCAAAAUUUUAUUAGCUUCGAUGCCAUGGUAUACGUAGUGGUUUAAAUAACUUGUGUUUCUUAUACUGAAAAGUAAUUCAGAAUUUGUUUCUAUUUCAAUUAGAGCCCUGAUGCAGAUAAGGAUUGUGUGGUUGUACAUGUCACUCGCUAUGAGGCGGACGGCCUAAAUAUACACACUGGGAAAACAAAGUUCUUAGGCUGUUGGAUCCUGGAAGCCAUUUGCGGUUAUACCAAUGAAGAGUUAUAUUCCAGCCUCACUGUUGUCAGGCGUGUUGUCCAGGGUGUACUGAAGCACAAGAAGUUCAAAGCUACUCCUUCGUUUGUGAGGAAUACUGUGCUUGUCAAGCUUACGCAGGAAGAUGAUGUGGCAUGCCUCCACAAACGAGUUUAUCAGUGGCAAGGUCACAAGGUUGUCUUCAUGAAGGUUCACAGGAUUGAGCUGCUGCGGGAUGUCCUCGAUGAUGUUCAUGGCAAGGUCCGUCUUGUGUCCAGCCCAAAUUAGAUCGAGGCAUGAAAUAGUUGCCCCAGCUAGUGUUUAAUAGUAGUUUGGAUUGUGUCUAAUUAUCCGAACCUUGCCUGUUAUCGACCCCUCUGGGGCUAGUACUCUGUUUGAAUCCGUCUAUGGGAACUGCUGCUACGUUUGUGUGCCCGUGAAUCAUGUGAGAACCAUCGUAAUUGCCGAAACAGAUGCGUCCUCACUAGUUUUUUCAUGAAUAUGGCAUGGUAAGACGUAAGUUGUCACGGUUUAUCAUACGAGUAGUGUGUGUUUUGAUGAAAUAGAGCACUCGUUCGAGAACCGUGCGCCGACGUAUACAUAAGUACUUGUAAACACUGUUGGUGCUACCCCACUUGUAAGCAGUUGUGCAAAACACGGCACAUUGGCUCAGCUCGCUUCAACACUAGGCUAUCGACCAGCUAACAAUCAACAAUCUGCUGUCUGACAUAUAAGCAACUAUAUAUCUUGUUACAGUGGUUCAUGCAGUUAAUUGAGGCCACAAUGUAAUAAAUUCCAAACGUUCACAUGCUAGUCCAGCGCUCAUGUGGAACACUCACAUUAAACUCGUCUUCAUAAAAAACUUGAAAAACAUAAGUUCAGCAAUUUUAUACAUCUCAAUGAUUCAUAGAACAUAUCAAACAUAUACUAGUUCACAGCCAAAGACAAAGUUGUGAGAAGGUUUACAAAUCAGGAAAAAACAAGCAAGGCUUCUCUUUGAGCAAAGGGCCUCCCGGCAGGCUUAAAUUUCCUGGAGUUCACUCUGGUUUUUUCUUGUUGCCACCAUUCAGGGUUAGGUUCUCUCAUUCCAGAAUAACCAAUUAUAAUUGUGGUCUCAGCUGGAAUGCUGAACUGAACCAUGCAGUGUACUGACCAGGUGAAAUUCUUGUGCAUUCCACUAAAUUUAAGCACCGCUAUUUGCAGAAAUAAGCAGACCACAAUGCCUCUUGUCCGCGCACCUGUCCAAAAAACCGCCGUGCAACCGUGCCAGCUAGUCCUCGGUCCAUGGAUGAACUGGUAGAAAGUGCAUCCCGGACUAGGAUGCAGUUGUUUUCGCUUGUCCCUGCACUGCAAUCAGGAAGUAAAACGUAUGAAUCAGCUUCUUUUAGAUUGCGUUGGUCAUUCUACCUUAGUUACUACCAAUGUAGGGAUACCUUGAAGAUGGGAGGUUAGACGACGGCAAUGAGGGAUAGCCAUCUCAUUUUGCGCAGCUGUACUAAAACUGAGGUGUGUGCUUUUGAUUGCGCGGAUAGAAAUGAUACGGAGACAGACAUCCCGAAACGAUAUGGAGACAGACAUCCCUGUUUGCGCAAAUAAGAACUACAGUUAUUUAAACAGUGACAGAUAUUACUACUUUCCCCCGUUUCCUCUUAGAACCAAGUCCUAGAUUCAUGCUACAGCUUUCCCACUUUCUUCCCUGUUUGAACCAACGCUUUGAGUCGACUGUAUAAAAUAGCUUUACUUCUAAUAAUAGUAGAAGUCUAGGUGGCUUUGGAACAGCGGACGGAAGUAGAAAAGGAUCCACACGAAGGGAGCUGGGGCAGUAGAGCAAGGCAGGUUUCGAAGGAAUAUAUACCCGAGGGUCGUCGGCAUGUCGCAAAGACGGCGUCGGGAGGCCUCAUCUUGGCCACAAUACCGCAGGGAGGAAGAAGGGGUCGGAGGCCCUCCCGAGCCGGCGCUCUCUCGGAGAGAAUGACACGGCCGCCGAUCGGGACGCGCAGGCAGCCGUUGGUCUCCUCCCUCGCCGCCGAUGACAGCGUGAACGAUGCACCUACACCCCUGCCCCGGUCGAGGUUGUGCGGCCGGAUUUGUGACCAGCCGUGAGCUGAGAGAGAGUGUGGCCACCUAUGUGUUGCUUAGAUCUGGAGAGCAUGAGAGAGUGAACGAGAGGAACCCUAGUAAAGCAAGCGCUAAGGCUCCUACUUUUAUAUAUAGUGGAGUGAUUUUGUUGUACCAGCUUAAAAAAAUGCGCUCCUACGUGUACCCGCGAGUGGGUGUGAGAGAACUAGUUCGUGCGUGCACCGCUUCUCUUCGUGAGAGUACAAUAUACUAUGUCCAAAGAACGUUCGCCGCAAGAGUAAUAGUACAAGUGUGUGAUGUGUGAGCUAAAAUAAAAUGUGCGUGCCGUCUUUUGUUUUUUAGAAGUUCUGAGGGUAGGGUGUGAAGAGCACAUAUGUGCGUGACGUCUACCUGCAGAUAGACGGUGGGUGCGACGUGCGAGUCUGCGAGAGGACUCGGGAGAGUCAUGACUCGUGAGGGUGCGUGUGCGUGAGAGAGAGGGGGCACGUAUCAAUGCAAUGCAUGUGUCCGUAAAUCAUUAUUCGACAAACGUUCGCCACAAGCCUUUUCCUGACGAACGCCGUAAGAACCGUUAGAUCGGCAUCCAACAGUGUCAGUUUUGCCAUGCCAUUUAACAGAACAGCCACUCCUCCUACACACAAAUCUUCCACGUGAGUGUUAGCAACUGCCGUAUGCUCCAUCCUUUCCGAAAUGCAGUGCAUAUAGCUUUAUUAAAAAUUCGAACCUCGCAAACUUUUACCGAGUUUUCGUGUACCAAAUUGCACAUGUAGAAUACCAUGUAUAUGUCAUUUCAUUCAUCUUCGAGAGGUAACUAUAAAGUUGGGUGAGGAGUCUACAAAGAAAGACCAUCGUAUCACCCGCAGCAAUUUCAAGCAUCCUUUAAUGUCGAGGAAUAUCAUAGGAACUCUAUAUGAUAUGAUUUUUAUAGGAUUUUUCCUUUAGAGCCAAUUUGUUCAUAGGAAUAUAUUCAUAUACUCCACAUUUCAAAGGAAAUAAACAUGAUAUCAUUUCUAUAGCUUUAGAGCCACUUGGUUCAUAUGAAUGGAUUCCUAUACUCCCUUAAUUUCAAAGAAAAAUAAACAUUAGCGUAUAUUCAAUAGAAAAGUUCCUAUGAUAUGAACCAAAUUACAUCUCUUUUCUAAUCCCUCCUCAUAGGAAUUGAGAUACAUGUCAUCUCUAGAUUCAAUAGAAAAGUUCCUAUGAUGUAAACCAAAUGACAUCUCUUUUCUAAUCCCUACUCAUAGGAAUUGAGAUGCUCCAUGUCAUCUCUUUCCCUACAACUUCCAUGUAUACAUCUUCUAUUCCUACAUAGAUAGUACAACCCACUAGUAGCUUUUUUCCAAAACAUGCAACUAUGGCACAAGAACUAUAUAGUGUGCCAAUAACUUUGAAAGAUGGUCGCUGGAUGAAGCUAACCCGACAGUGCAGAGAUAGGCAAAUCCGAGCACUACUGGCCGUUGGAUAUCAUCAACAUUCCACCAGAUCUGCAACAUGUAAAAUUUAGAAGACUCCAUGGUUGAACUUAAGCAUAAUGCACAAACCUCAAAACACAAGCACUUCUCCUUUGUUCUAGAAUCUUUUGUAUCAUAAUUGAUUAUUUUUUCUAAAUGAAUUGCCAUUAUUUGUUUUUUACUUUAUGAUUUACUCCCUCCGUUCCAAAAUAGAUGACCCAACUUUGCACUAACUCAAAGUUAGUGCAAAGUUGGGUCAUCUAUUUUGGAACGGAGGGAGUACAAUGCACAACCCCAUGAAUCUUAACAUUUUUAUAAAACUUAUUGAUUUUGAAUGAGAUGAACUAUAAGAACUAAACGAACAUCUACAUAAUGCAUAUAUGACUCAAAGCUUUACAUGCUAUAGUGUGUAUUUAUUCAUAAUUUGGUUUCGAAAUCUCAUGCGUUCAAUACAUGUGUACUCCCUCCGUCCGCGAAUAAGUGUACUUCUAGCCUUUGUUCUAAGUCAAAGUUUUAAAAUUUUGACCAAAUAUAUACAAAAGAGUAGUAACAUAUAUGACAUAAAAUUGAUAUAUUAUCAAAUUACAAUUCAAAACGAAUCUAGUGAUACUAAUUUAGUAUCAUAAAUGCUGCUACUUUUCCCUAUAAAGUUGGUCAAAGUUUUAAAAACUUUGACUGAAGACAAAAGCUAGAAGUACACUUAUUCAUGGACAGAGGGAGUACCUUACUAGUACUUUUGAGUAGAGUAGCAAAUUUCACGCGGCCCCGGGUAUAUCAAAAUGCAGGGCCCAUGCAUCAUUGCCUUUCGGUCGAACCUACGUCCACAAUUUUUUGUACGUACUAUAUCUCCACUGGUCCCCGAACCCAAAAUGCUGCCUCGUUCCCGUAAAACCAAGCGGCCCACACAUAUUUAAGGCAUCGGCUCAAACCCAUUUACUACGAUGUGGCCCCGCACGCCGUAGUACUCCUACAAACCCUACCGCCGCACUCAUCAUCGGUUUUCUUCAAGCGGACGAGGGAGAAGUCGAUUUGUAGUGGAGGCGCUUUCAAAAAAAGGAUCUGCAGUGGAGACCCCUACCCUAGGGUGCCCUAGGUAGCUGCCGCACGCAUCAUUGUUUUCUCUUUUCUUUAUGCUCUUGCGCCCUAGAGUGAAAUGAUGGUUGCUUCGUCUGUCCAGCUUAAUGCGGGAAAGGUGGGGCUUUGUGAUUUGACCCCUCGUCGCUCAUUUUCUACUACUGCGGCGCUACGACCGGGGUGCCUCCAAUUCCAACCGCUGCUCCGAACUGUAAUUUGGUGCAUUGCACGUGGAACAAGACGGUGGAUGAGCCACAUGUCGGCCAAAGGGGUCCUGUUAAGUGUGUCGCCAUUUCGUGUGUGGACUGACCCUGCUUGAGUUGCUACACCAACAUGACAGGAGUAGCCUACCACUUGGUUUUGCUCCUUGGUGAAUCCCGACUAUAUUGAUCUAAAAGGAUACGUGUUGAACUACCCUCUCCGUCUUAGUUUAUAGGGCCUGCACAUAGUUCUAGGUCAUCCAUUUGACUAACUAAAUAGGAGUUACUAUGUCACAAAAAGUAUAUCAUUGGAUUCUUAAGCGGAUGUAGUUGUAUUUAAAAGUCGAGGGCAGGGGCAGUUCCGCCUAGUCGGUUCGACAGAGACGCGAGAAGAUGAGGGAGUAGCUGCUGCAAACGUAGGGCUAUGUGAUUUGACAGCGAGUUACUGCUGGCAGGUGGGGCCCAGUGAUUUGACUUGCCAUUAUCAUUUUAACUACGGCUCUACGACCGACGUGAGUCUCCCAGAUUCCUGACCACCUCCAUACAGGUGCCUCUCCCGAUGCUCCACCAUGUAGUAGAGGCUGGCUCUUGCAUGAGAGCCCACUUCUCCACUUUUUCCUUGCCUCUCUUUCCUCCACAUAUGCAAAAAUGCCAUGUAAAGCGCACUAUUGUACUUACUUUUACUUGCUCCUACAGGUGCUUAAGCUUGCCACAUAGGCAUAAAGUAUGAUGUGGCAGGUUAAUCAAGAAGAGAGAGAGACUAGUUUGGUGACCCAAGGAAGAAACGGUGCUAAGCGCGUGUACCUAGGUGAAAAGACAAUUUUGAGUCUAUAGCUAAUUAAAUGAAGCAAACUUAGCAACACCAUUUCAUUGGAAGAGGUCACUCCUUGGCAAAUGCAAUAAAUACACACGCUUACUAGCACCGUUUCUUCCUUGAGUACGAAGAAAGAGAUAGAGAGGAGUAACAAAAAAUACACUUAUAGCCAACCUUGUUGUAGUAUGAGUGACUAACUGAUGACUAUGUAUGACAUGCCAACAUCAGAUAGCCUAACACACCGUGUUAAAUAUCCAAGGGCGCGACCGCAUGAGCGACGCGACGGUCAUGGUAGGCGCGACCAUGAUACGGGCUGCUAGCAGCCCUUGGAUCUGAGAUCAAACGGUCGCAUGCUAAGUUGCUAAAAAUUUGCAGAAUAACCCUCCAGGAUAGGAUAUUCACCCAUAGGUCUAGAAUCACGCCAUGCAACCGUUCGAUCUCAGAUCCAAGGGAUAUCGGAAGCCUGUAUCAUGGGAGAAUGGAAAGCCACUACCCUGCCGUUCGCACGCUGGCAGUUCGCUCCUACUCAUCCCUGCACGUCCUUCAAUACUACGGCGGUUCGCUCCUAGUCGUCCCGUCCAUUCGCAUUACGGCAGUUCCACUAAUCCCAACCCUCCUCCCAAAUCCAUGGCGUCCCAAAUCUCCAUGAUCGGCGGUGAGUACAAGGUUAGAACCAUCACCGGCGAUGAGUUCGACGUAAUCUACACCCGUUCUUCCGCGACGGUGAAAGGACGCCUUUCUCGCUUCAGGCGCAUGUUUGAAAACUCAGAUGAUGAGUGGGUCACUGGGCUAGAUGUUGAGUACACCACAGUCCUGGGACGAGAGAAGGAUCUAAAGGACGAAGAGAGGAAGAAGCCCGCCGUGAUCCAGGUUUGCGUGCAUGACUUAUGCUUGGUCUACCACAUAUGCCAUGCCGACGUUGAGUGCCAGGAUUUGAAGGACUUCCUCGGGAGCAACCUAGUCAAAUUCGUUACUGUAGACUUUGGUAACGACAAAGAAAUCCUGGGUCGGAUAGGCCUCGUUGUAGGCAACCCCUUCUACCUCCAGAAGAAUCGGCUGGUGCCCUCUCGUCAGCCUUCAAUGCUGACCCUGGCAGGAGCCAUGGUUCAUCCUUCGUACGGUAAACUGGUGAAACCUCCAUACACGUUUCAUCGUCAUGGAUGGCAGCGGAAUGUACUAGAUAUAGACCACAUCCACUACGCUGCAAUGGAUGGCUACCUUUGCUUCUAUAUCUACAAGGGUUGGAUGAAGAGCAACAACCAAGUGUGCGGUUCAAGCAAAGAAGUAUCGGCCAAUAGGAAUAGGGACAGGGACGAAGUCGAGGAUGUGGACGAGGACUCCGAGUAAGGUGGCAGUGUCGUUGCUCAUGGUGGUUCUAAACUUCUAAUGCAGUGUCUACCGGAUUAGUUGCAUAGUUUAAUUUCAGGUGUGCUUAGUUUAAUUUGAGAGGUGUGUUGUGUUGAUCCCCCAGCAGAAUUAUGUUAUGUUUCUUCUCGUUACUUUAACUCUUCAGUAUGUACAUACUACUAGUAUUUCUUUAAUUGAAUUUAGCACCCCAAUUAAGCACGUACUAGCUUUUUUAAUAGUACUAUAAGCAUAAUUUGGCGACAAGCGCUCUCUAUAUGUACCACCUUUUUUUAAUUUCAAGUUUUGCUCCAUGGCGCAAUCCAUCGAUAGUACUACUGUACAAAAGUAUACAUUUUUUAAAAGGCUAGAGUACUGUUCAUCACAUAUAUAGCCAGUUAAAUUCUCAACCUACAACGACGUGCAUGCCAUGUAGUAAACCAAUACGGAGGAAGUAUAGUAAAAAUGAGGUGAUUUUAUCGAGCGAUCGGCGGGGGAGCAUGUCCUGUCAUGCGGUCCCACGUGUCAUGAGUACCAAGGCGAUGCGCGUGUCCCUCUUAAGGCAGAAGCGAUACUAGUACGUGGUUUGAGAUGAUGGCGAACCGAAGUGUGAAAUAAGGGUUUCUUCAUCCGUCUGGGAAAGUGUGGCAUUGUGAUUUGACGUCUCAUUGCUCAUUACUACUACUGGGCCGGUACGAGUGGGGUGCGUCCCCCUGCUGUUCUGCACUGUUAUUUGGUGCUUGACACGUCGACCCGGUUGCUAUAUGUCCCACAUGUCGACGACAGGAAGUACAGAAUUCAUGAAAGGGAGCGUCGACGGAGGAGUAUACUACUACAUAAUUCAUGAAAGGGAGCGACUUAGUUUUGGAAAAAUCUGUUUUUACGGAGUACGUACCCACUAGGGUUUAUAGGGCUCAUCUAAAAAACUUCCGUUUUUCCAUUUGAUAAGUCUCAAUUCUACUCCCUCCGUCCCAAAAUAUAAAAACGUUUUUAACACUAACAUAGUAUUAAAAACGUUCUUAUAUUCUGGGACAGAGGGAGUACUAUACUAGUAGUAAUACCAUUACAUGUUGGAUUUCGAGGUGCGUUAGAUCACCCGACGCAAGCAGUGUCAAGAGGAAACUAACCAAUGCAUGUACAAGUUCAUGGAAAUUUAGUGGUCAUUCAUGCAUUCGUUCUAAUUAAUGCCUCGGUAAACACAACUUCUUGAGAAAAACGAGCGUACUAAUUACUUGUGCAAACUACGAAAUUAAUUCGACCACUCACCGUCUACCUUGGUUGGAGAGAUUUUGAAAUUGAGCCAUAAACUGGAAAGAAGGGAGUAAUAAAUUUUGUCUCGAUUACUAUUUGUGGCCUUGUAUAGAUGCAAAAUGUAUUUUUUUAUAGUGGCCUUGUAGAAGUAAAUGGAGGGAGUACUAACCAAAGUACGUAGUAGGGACGAGGAGUAAACGGAGGGAGUAGUAAAAAUUUUUCCUCGGGCUACGAGCCACCGCACGCGUGGGCGAGGGAGCGGGCAUAAGGCGUGGUAAGCAAGCUUCACCUUAUCCUGCGAGCCACCGCGCCCAUGGGCGGGGGAGACGGCGUACUAAGCAAGCUUCUCCUCGUUCUGCGAGUUGACGUGACACAUCAAAAGUACUCCAGUGUAUAGAGCCUUGCCUCUAAGGUAGGCCCCACAUGGUUUGCCUCUUUUUUUAAUUUAACAUAAUGCGUCAAGUCGCAAUUUGUUUGUUCACCCGUGGUAGACGAUCCUCCCUCCACCAAGUGGACAACUAGUACACGUGCCAAAUUACCAUGUGGGCUGUCUUUUUCGUAUAGAAAUGAGCUCCACCGUGUACCCGCGCGGGUGUGGUUGGGAAAGAGACGGGAGUACGUGCGCCGUGCGUGCACCUCUUCUCUUCGUGCACGUCCCCCACCUACGUAGGUGUGUGUGAGAGAGAUACAAACCUAGACAUAAUGCGCCGUCCAUCCCCAUGGCUCCGCCCAGUCCGACCACCAGUCACCACCACGCUCCACUCCUCCUCGCCUUAUGUCAAAUCUUUCUCCCUCCAUUUUUAUAUACAAGGGGCCACUAUCAAAAUUACAAUUUGCAGAUAUACAAGGCCACUAACACUAAUUGAUGCAAUAUUAAUGGUGUUUGCCUCGUGGUACUAGCAAAGGAGGACAUUAAUUAUCCCUUGCAUGCAUGCGGGAGUUUGUAAAAAAAUGCAUCUUGAUGUUCCGUGCAAUGCACGGGCAUCUUGCUAGUCCAUGAAAACAACACAUGGAAAAAUUCCACGGCGAACGAGGGAUUUGAAUCUGUUGGGAGGGGCUGUUUGGAUCUUGCCCGGAGUAGCCAAAAUAUUGGCGACUACUUCGCCAUGGCCGGCAUCGGCUCGAGUUCAUCCUAACAUUGCCCUCUUCUGUGGAGCCCAUGCGGGGUCGACGAAGGUCCUCACAACAAAAGGAUCCGGCAAGACACCUGCUGUACGCCGGCGUCGCCUCCGCGGUGGCCUUCAUGGGACCCAAGCGGCGGCGGCCUCCCGUGUUCUACUUCUCCUUGAUGAUGGCGGCGGAUGCGGAGGCGCUGGCCACCGACUCGCCGCUCUCCGUGCACCCAGCUUCUGUCGCUGCUUGCAUGGCGCGGCCGCCGGCAUGGGAGUCUCGGCCACAGAAACGGGAGACGUGGUACGAGGCGGUGGCAUGGACGGCAGCAACGACGCCCGUGCGCCGCUCCUCGUCGAGCUGGCCUGGAGCGGCGAGUUGCUGAACCACGCGUCGGCUUGGGGCGGCAACUGGCUCCGUCGGGCGAGGAGAGGGGGGUGGAUCAGCGAGCUGCAUAGCUCGUAUCCGGCGGGCUACCCAGCCGGCUUGGAUACGGAAUAACUACUCUUUGUAAGCCAUUGUAAGAGUGGACAAAAUGGUGGAGGAGAUAGGGGAGCGGCGGAGGUGUGCGAUUCUUGGCCGGAGUUUGGCCUCGUUUAAAUAGGAGAUUAAAUAGACGGCAAACGGGAGGAGCUCGGCCGACGUUGCGUUUAACACCGGCCCGGUCAUGAACGGACAUGUGUCCAGAGUGGGUUUCUCGGCUUCCACACAGGCGGGUUUCGCGGAGGCAUUUGAAUGCGGCACGGAGGCAUGUUCAGCCGGGCGUGCCACGAGUGGCGCCCUCGACUCUGACCUAGGACACUGCGCCGUUCUUCCAUUGACGUGUGGGCUCUUUGGGUGCAUGGCCUGCAUGUCAGUGACCCAAUGCAGGCAGCACACAACAGAGGAACCUUUGGUGGGCCAGGGCGGUCAGAAGCGGGCAUUUCAUAAACCGAUGAUUGUUCAUUGAGUGUGACGUCAUCUUUUUCAUGUAGAUAAGCCUACUAUGUUGAUAGCUCGUUCGAUACGUUGUGAUUCAUAAAGACCGCUGCAAACAUCAAUGUUCUGCUUAUCACAGAUAAGAUUGAUUAAUACCCGUAACAAUCCAUGUCCUUAACAAAGGGUGCAUGCACGUAUAGGUUGAACGUGUGUCUUGCGUCGUGUGCUGUGUGCAUGCAGGCGUGCGGGUGUUGCGUGCGUGCAAGGGUACGUUUCAGUGUGGCAUGCAUGGGUGCGUACGUGCGUGUGUUCGUGAGUGCAUGUGUACGUGUCAGUGUUGCACGCCAGCAUGCAUGCGUGUGUAUGUGUCAGUGUUGCACGCCUACAUGCGUGCGUGUCUUGUGUGCGUGCAUGUGUACGUGCGGGGUGAGGCUACACGUCAGUCGACUGACUUUUUCAUCUCUGGUCAUUAGAUUUUCUAGCCGUUGGAUACAAAAUCAAGGGCCUCCAGUUUAUCAUCAAACUCCACCCCCCGGAGCCGCCAGCCACCACCGGCCGAACCGCCAGCCCCCGCCGCCCGCGGCCGGCCCUCCCUCCCCGAAACCACUCCCCACCGCCGGUCCGCCNNNNNNNNNNNNNNNNNNNNNNNNNNNNNNNNNNNNNNNNNNNNNNNNNNNNNNNNNNNNNNNNNNNNNNNNNNNNNNNNNNNNNNNNNNNNNNNNNNNNNNNNNNNNNNNNNNNNNNNNNNNNNNNNNNNNNNNNNNNNNNNNNNNNNNNNNNNNNNNNNNNNNNNNNNNNNNNNNNNNNNNNNNNNNNNNNNNNNNNNNNNNNNNNNNNNNNNNNNNNNNNNNNNNNNNNNNNNNNNNNNNNNNNNNNNNNNNNNNNNNNNNNNNNNNNNNNNNNNNNNNNNNNCCACCCUCCCGCCCAAUGAACGCCCCCAAUCGCCGGUGACUGCCAACCAGAGGUCUCACGACUUCGAAUACCCGCCGACCACUAAUUUAUUACCAUUUAUGUCCUUCAUAUACGCGCUGACGGGUGGGCCCUAUGGUAAUGUGAGCUGCUUAGUGUGGACCGUUUGACUGGUCAAUUGAUCGUGUUAUCAACAAAUUAUGGAGCUGUAUGGUGAGCUAGUGACCGUACGAUCACCCUAAAAUGUACUCCUAUUUUAUUAACACAGUAUAGACUCAAACUACCAUUUCUUUCUUUCAUAUACGGGCUGACAGGUGGGCCCCACGGUUACGUGCCCCGAUGGUGCAACACUAGUUGCGCCGCGUGGAACGUUUGACUGGUCAAUUGAUUGUGUCAUCAACAAAAUACGGAGUUGUACGGGUGAGCCAGUGACCGUAUGAUCAUGAUAUGUAUUUGUUUAACACGGUACAGACGCAAGGGCUCAUAUAUAUGCGCAAGCACUCACCGAUAUAAGCGCACACACGCGAACCCGACCCCUAUGAGCACCUUCGAGAGAGUGGGCUAGCAUAUAUGAUCUUGAGAUUUUACGAAGUCACCAUAGGUGCCUCGUAGUCGAGUGGAACGUCUCCUCCCACUGAACGUACGUCGUCGGAAAAUACUGAAAUUAACACAAGAUAAAUGCGAGCACCGGGACUUUAACCUUGGUGGACUCGAGAAAUCACUGUCCUCUAACCAUCCAACCACAUGUUGGUUAGCACGACAAAAUGUAUGCGGUGACCGUGAUGAGCUUAUUCUGAAGUCCAGUGACCAUAUCGUGCUUUCGCUUCAAAUACAAUGACCGUAAGUGUCGUCAACAAAAUAUGGAGCACGCAUCAAAUGCAAAGUCCGUCAGUGUCAUCAACAAAAUAUGGAGACGUAUCGUGAGCUAGAUACCGUUGUACUAUUGUAUAUGCUUAUUCUGUUAGUGGCCGAUUGCGUGUGUGGUGUGGUGGGCACAUCAUUUCUAGUUGUGGUGGGUCAACAUGAAGACUCAUGGGUCGGUUCCAUCCUGCGCCACAUAUAGGUUGGACCGAGACGUGUUAUACGAAGACCCAUGUGGAGGACUCGGCAUACAACAUGAAGCUACCAGAGUCGCGGAGGACUCUAUCCCCACUGGUGAUAAGACGACUAUAUAUGAUUUGUAACCCUAGGCCCUUAGUAUGUUAUACAAGAUUGGGGGCUAGUUCGUCGAUAGUAUCCACACACGCACAAUGCCUGGUAUUCACGUGUACUUUGUACACACCCCUAUCACUAAUAUACAGUACUAGGAGUAGGCCCUUUCUUCAACUGCAAUUGAAUUCUAGCAUGUGCAUGUGUUUAUUUCAUAUUAUCGAUCCAUAGAGUGAGAGCGGUUUGAAAUACAGGCAAUGGAUGCUUUUGCAAUUCAUAUAUAAACAUUAAUUAGUGCACUCCAUGUUGUUAGUGUGAAGAACUUUAUACAUUUGUCACUUGCAUGGAUACAUUCCAAAUUGCUAGCUACGAAAUAGAAUACAUGUCGAAUUCAACAUAAAGGGGGUUUCGAAGAUUCGAAUUCAUAGGAAGUGCAUUCAUCUAUUUGAACCUGAGAUAAUGGCAUUUGUAAAUCAGAUGUAAAAUGGGGCAUCAAUCUUUGUUGUGAGUUUGAAUACGCAUACCUAACUUUUUUUGCAACCAAGGAGAUUAUAUCUGGAACCAUGCAUGAACUGAGGUAAGUUGCAUAUUUUUUAAUAUAUACUCGUGUACAAUGUAUAUUCAAAUGUACCCCCUUCAUUCCAAAAUAAUCGUAGCUUUAGGAUUUUCAAGAGUAAAGAUUUGUGAAGUUUGACAAAUCCUGAAAGUUCAAUUCAAGAGAACCAAAAACGUUAAUGCUUCUGCUCCCAAAUAUUGAACGAAGCGCCAAAUAGGCCUCUGGUCACCCGAAACCGCGCGAGACUAAUGUUUUGGUGGUAGGAAAUUACUGUCCUGACUUUGGCCCGUGUAGCCUAUCGGCCCGAUGUCCAAAGGUCUAAACCGGAGUAGGUUUGUAACUUCACCAAGACGCCAGAGAAGCAUUCAUACGUCGUGGGCGCCUACCCAUGCGCUCGGCCGAAAUCUAUCCCGCCCACAUUUGGGACACCUGACAUGACUGUCCUACCCCCAACCCGCAAUAUGUCCGAAAUUUUAGAUGGGGGAAAGUUUGUAACUUUCCCCAAAUUUCAAACAAGCGUGUCUCAAACCGAAACAUUGUUCCCCCUUAGUUCCCCGCCUCCCUCCGUUUCCCCAUUCAUACUCCAUGGGCGCGAAAACGCCCUCUCCACCAGCCGCGAAACCCCAGUCUCCUUCAUCCUCCACCCCAUAGCGGCCAAUCCACCGCCGCCCUCCUCCAUCACCCCGGAGCCGGUACCCCGACGUCAUCGUCCAACGCAACCGCAACCGCAACGCCCUCAAGGACUUAGCAGCUGAAGCCGAGGCAGAGCUGCCUCCACGACGCCGAUGCCGACGUGCGCCGUACCAGAACCACUCCAACCACGCCGUCCUACGCCUCACUGCUGCGGCUCCAUUGUCGCAACCGUCCAUCGCACCGGAGCUGUUCCCGCUGCGUCGUCGUUCGCCGCCUCGGAUCUGCUUCCCCGCCGCCGAUAGACGGCCACCACACCACACUCAACAACUUGGCCAUGGGUUCGUCCAAGGCUGCACCAUCCUCCACAACUUCUGGUUUCCGGCGAACAACAAGAAGAUCGUCGGAAAAACAGAAGGAGGACACAACACUGCCAGUAGAAAGAGGUACUCCUCUUCCCAUAUUCGUGCAAAUCUUACGUCUCCGCUCACACCGUAUUCAUCCCACGAAAGAAACUAGUUGAGCGCUUCUUACUGCAUCUUCUUCGUGAUACUAAAUGCACAAGGUUUCCUCCCUUACUAUUUCACCUUUGCUAGAGGUCAGUAGCCCGCCUGGAUUUCAAUUCAGGGUCAUUCGAACCGCAAUUAAAAGAAGCAGCACGCGCUUAGGCGCGCGGAGCACCUAGUCCGCCUGCUCCCCAGGGAAGCGGGGUGUGGGGCGCAGGAGCUGCUUGCGCCCGAUCUGGAGGUCGGCGGGGCUUGAAUGGAUGGCCAGGAGGGCGGUGCCAAGCACGGCGGUGCGAUGAGGUCAAGGGGAGGGCGCAUGCAGGGGAGGAAUACUAGGCCGGUGGUCGCUGGCGUUUCGAGGAAGAUCGUCAAUACUGACUGGCUGGAGGUAGAUGAAGGCGAUCUGCCCGUUCUUUGUACAUCGGACGGUGCAGAAAAAAUGUACUGACCUAUUUGCUUUCAGUCGACUGUUAUUUUCAUAGAAUCCUGUAGUAAUUUAGUGUGCCAUGCAUGUUGUAGAGCUAUCAUAUGUCUCUCGUCAUUUAUUUCUCACUGACCUGUUAUUUGCUACCUUUACACUAUACUAAUUGUGCACACACUUCACCCAUACUCACACUAUUGUUUUUUUAUGCAUGGGUAUUUCAGAUUCUGACGCAGUGUUGAUGAAUGCAGAAAAGAAAAGACAGAAGUCGCUCCAGUGUAAUUCAAAGAUAAGCACUAAGUGUUCCAGCGCUCUAACAAGUGCAGUGUCAGCAGUUAGAGACAGUAAACGUAGCUCUGGAGUUGAUGAUCUCAAUUGCCACACACAACCAUCCCAGGUGCUUGCUUUAACUUCGCGCUGUCAAAUGUGGUUGCAUGUUGCAUAUGGUGUCUAGCUUGUAUUGCUUCCAAUUUGGUUAAAUUUCAUCUGCUUACUUUACACAUUAUACCUUUGAUAAUGACAUGCCUUCCUGUUUUCGAUACAUACUACAUAUAUCUAUUAACCAUGUUCGUACAUCAAACUAAUGCUCUUUUGUAUCCCUCGUCAAUCACUUAUGAUGAGACAGUCACCCGGGUGGGUUACUGUGAGACCACAUACUCGUUUAAAGAGUGCAGUGUCAUCCUCCCCACAUGAUUCUCAAGAAACAACAAGGCUAAAUGAAGAUAGUCAAUGUAACUCUCUAGUUGAUCACCGCAAUUCCCCCACACCACCAUCACAGGUGCUUGCUCUUACUUGGCAGUGUGAUAUGUGGUUGCAUGUUGCAUACGGUGUCUAGCUUGUAAUGCUUCUAAUUAGGGUAAAUUGCAUCUGCUUAGUUUACACACUAUACCUGUGAAUAUGACAUGCCUUUCUAUUUUUGGUACACACUACAUCUAUGUGUUAACCUUGUUCUUACAUGAAACUACCUCUCUUCUGUAUCCUGCAUCAAUCACUUACGAUGAGUCACCUUUAUUCGUUCCAUAUUGCAUAUUAUUUCUAGCCUGUUGCCAUGUAUUGCUUCUAAUUUGGUCAAAUACAUUUGUUAGGGCACCCUUUUAAUUUGGCAGAGUGAUAUUGGUUUCAUCUUUCAUAUGGUUUCUAGCUUGCAUCGAUUCUAACAAGUUCAAGCACCUUGUGCUUAGUUUACACUUUAUACAUCAUACAUGUCAAUAUAUCACGUCGUCCUGUUUUUCAUACAUAUUCCAUCCUCCUAUCAUGCGGCUGCCUUACAUGAAAGUAGUGUUCGUCAGUAUCAUGCAUCAAUGAGUUCUGAAGAGCAAAUUUUAUUCCUUUUUCUAGUGGGUUUGACUUGACAAGGCAAAAUCAAGAAAGGGGAAGGAAAAGAGUAAGGAAGGCGAUGUGGUGGUCCUCUGCAGCAACGUAAACGGAGCAUCUGUACCGAUUCUCCCUGUACUGAUAGUGCAUUACAAGGUCCAAGUCUCCGCUCCCCUACUCAACCAUCCAAGGUGCUUGCUCUAAGUUGGCAGUGUGAUAUCUGGUUGCAUGUUGCAUAUGGUGUCUAGCUCGUAUUGCUCCUAAUUAGUGUAAACUGCAUCUGCUUAGCUUACACAUGAUACAUGUGAAUAUGACACGCUUUCCUGUUUUUAGUACAUACUAUAUCUGUCUAUCACACCAUGUUCUUACAUGAAACUACUCUUUUUGUGUAUCCUGCAUCAGUCACUUAUGAUGGGACACCUUUAAGUUGGCAGUGUGAUAUUGGUUUGCGUCUUGAAUAUGAUUUCUAGCAUGUAUUGCUUCUAGUUUGAUGAAUGCCACCUAUGGCGAGACAGUUUUAACUUGGCAGAGUGAUAUUGAUUGCACCUUCCAUAUGGUGUCUUGCAGUGUUUCUAAUCCCUUUUUCUUAUCGGGUUGACUUCACAAUGCAAAAUCAUUACAGCUGAAGGAAAUUAGUCCGGCAGUGGAUGAUGGUGGUCCUUCGGAGCAACUCAAACAGGGGGUCUCUACAGAUUCUACUCCGCCAUCCUACCAACAAGAUUCGCAAGACAACACAAGGCUGGACAGUCAACGUAGUUGUGUAGAUGAUGACUCCCCUACUCCAUCAUCACAGGUGCUUGCUCUAACUUGUCACUAUUAUAUGUGGUUGCAUGUUGCGUAUGAUGUCUAGCUUGUAUUGCUUCUAACUUGAAUUGCAUCUGCUUACUUUACACAUAAUGCCUGUGAAUAUGACACGUGUUCCUGUUUCUAGAACAUACAUGUACAUGAUGAGCACAUCUCCCCUACUCCACCAUCACCGGUGCUUGCUCUUACUUGGAACUGUUAUACGUGGUUGUGUUUUUCGUAUGAUGUCUAGUUUGUAUUGCUUAUGAUUAUGUUGAAUUGCAUCUGCGUAGCUUACAACUUAUACCUACAACGAUUACUUACCCAUAAGACACGCUAUCGUACGUGUGAAUAUGAAACGUUGUCUUUUUUUGUAUAUAUUCCAUCCUCCUAUCCUGCGCUUGCCUUACAUUAAAGUAGUGUUCGUCUGUAUCAUGCAUCAACCAGUUAUGCUGAGCUAAUUUUAUUCAUCUUCUUGUGGUUUUGACUUCAUAAGGCAAUAUCAGAAAAUAGGAAGGAAAAGAGUAAGUUAGCGGAUGUUGGUGGUCCUCUGCACCGACGCAAACAGAGACUCUCUAGAUUUUCCACCGUUACUGCUAAUGAAGUUGAAGUCCCAAGUCUACAUGAUGAGUUCAUCUCCCGUACUCCACCAUCGCAGGUGCUUGCUCUAAGUUGACAGUGUGAUAAUUGGUUUCAUGUUGCAUAUGUUGUCUAGCCUGUAUUUCUUCUAUUUUGAUUAAAUUGCACCUGCUGAGUUUAUACGUUAUACAUGUGCAUAUGACAUGGCUUUCUGUGUCUAGAAUACACCGCAUCUAUCUAUAAUACCAUGUUCUUACAUCAAAGUACCGCUGUUGUGUAUCCCGCAUCAGUCACUCAUGAUUGGACGCUUUUAACAUGGCAGUUUGAUAGUGGUUGCAUCUUGCAUUGAUUUCUACGUUGUACUGCUUCUAAUUUCUCGAAUUGCCACUUAUGACAAGACAGUUUUAACUUGGUAGAGUAAUAUUGGUUGCAUCUUUCAUAUGGUGUCCAACUUGCAUUACUUCUAUUUUCUUGAAAAUUCUUCUGCUUAGUUUGCACAUCGUAGCUGUGAAUAUGUCAUGCCGUCCUAUUUUUCUUACAUAUUCCAUCCUCAUACGGUUGUCUUACAUCAAAGUAUUGCUUGUCUGUAUCAUGCAUCAAUGAGUUCUGAAGAGUGAUUUUAUUCUUUUGUGUUGUGGGUACAACUUGACAUGGCAAAGUCAAAAAAGAGCAAGAAAAAUAAUAUAGUAGGGAGUGCUGUUACUCGUCCGAUGAAACGGAAAAGGUUCUGCCGUCGAGAUUCUGCUGGUACUUAUAGUGCAGUAGAAGGUCCAAGUCCACAGGCUAAAUCUACAAACACAGUAUCACCUGCUCCACCAGCUGCAGCAUCCGCUUCAACUGUACCAGCAUCUCAACCAGUUACUCGUUCGUUUGCACCUGAACUGGCCAGUUCCCAAGCUGCCUUCACACCUAACACUACUUCCGAAGCACUACUGACACAACAGGACUUGGCAAGAUCAGAUGAACCUCAUGAGCAUCAACACCAAGACGGUACCUGACCAAGUCAAGUUGCAGUUGCAUGCUCCUUUAUAUGUACUCUCACAGUUUGAUGUACACUAACACUUUCCAUAUUCGUUGUUGAACUAGCACCACGGCGCAAGCGGAAACAGACAUCAGGGAUAAUGUUUGACAGAUUAACAAAAUCUAAAGGAGGAAGAAUGGAGAUCCAUUUUGAGGCAGGUUUAAAAAGGCCACGUGAUGCUACAGAGUCAGCCAAGUUAGUAUCAGAGGCAGCCGUUGCCGUUAGGUGUCAUGCACGUAUCCUCCCAACGUGGAUCUAGUACAGGAAUGAGAAAGACAAUAUCUAGUUUAACACCUUCCUUGACCAUUUAUCCGUAAGUAAUGUUAUUCAUCGCAAUUAGUAAUAUUGUCUUGCUCUGUCCCAUACUUUCUAGCUUCCUCCUAAUAAGACUCACAUUCUUUUUUCAACAAAUGAGGUUCAAGUUGGAUCCGAAAGAUGAUGCAACUAGACAAGCAUGCACUCAUGUUUUUCAGUCUGCUCUAUGAAAGUAUCGGUACCACCUUAGAAAAUUUCACUUUGAAGGCAAGGCUAACAAUGAAAUCGCCCAAACAUCUCCAGUGGAAUAUAUUACAGAUGAAGACUGGACAGCGCUCGUUAAACACUGGUUUGAUCCAAAGUAUCAGGUAGGCUAUAUGUAUUUGAUCAGACCACAUAUUGAACUUGUAUUUAUGUAUGUGCCUUACAAGUGUAUCUUCUUCUAGGCUUACAAGUGUAUCUUCUUCUAGGCUAACUGUUUGAAGACCAAAACCAACCGUUCUAAAGUGAAAUUCCAACAGACCACAGGAUCUCGUAGCUAUAUUGCACACUGCGAGGCUCUUGUAAAUAGCUGCUACUUCCUUCUUUUUUGUGCCAUAUUAUCGUAUCUAUAUUGACUUGUUCCAAAUACAGAGGAAAUCCCGUGCAGACCAAAAAGAACCUAAACCGAAUGCAGUGCAAAUCUUCAAGGAUUGCCACACCAGCAAGAUGAAGGGCAUGAGCACACCAGUUCAAGCCGCUGUUGUAAGUCCUUACUCCUGCUGCCUUGAACUGAUUGGUACUGUGAUGUGUUCAUUUAACUACUUGGUUUGCAGCCAAUGCCAGUUACUCUCUUCACUUUUAUUCACAGUUGUCUUAACGUAUCAUUUCACCUUACAUGGUUUAAAAGAGAUGAAGGAUAUUCUUUUGGUCUUGAUCUGUAAUCUAGUUGUUAUGUUCACGUGCGCACACAAUGAUAAAAUAGCCUGUUUAUUUUAUAUCUGUUUGCCCAUGAUAUGAAUGAUGUCAUACUAUGUUCAUCCUACUUUAAACCAUGUCUCUUUAUCCUUAGAUGUCAACGAAUGUGAGGAAAUAGACAAUAUAGUAGGCAUGCUACAUGGACAUAUGUUCCGAAAGUGAUUUUAUUAUGUAGUUGGCACUACAAUACAUGCUAAUGUAUUACAGUAGUUCACCAAAAUAAGUUAUGUAUAAACGUUUAGCCUACUUUGUUUUUUUUGUCUCAUUAGUAACUUAUCUGGUACACUAAUCUACAAGUUUAAACUUUCAGGAAGCUAUGGAACAAAUGAUUGAAUAGCCACAACCACCUGAAGGUGACGAGGCUACUACAAGCACAAUGUCACCUCUUGCUGCAGUGCGUUAGUAUCUCUCCACUAACAGUGCAAAAAGCACCUGCCUGCGUAAUUCUGGGUUGGUUGUCAAGGUAACCUCGUCCAAAUCGUCUACUGAACAAAAUCUUCCUGCUAGACAGAGUGAUAUAUUUGUGCUCCAGACACAAGUCCAAUCCCUAAUGGACGUUGUUUCGGAAACAAGAAUAGUGGUUGAGAAAUGUCGUCAAGAUAUGAAUGGUUUUGAAACCAGACUAUCAGACAUUCGCUUCGUUGUUCAAGAGCAAUGGCGGAAAAAAGGUGGAGAUCAUGCUGCUCCAUCAGAUUCUACAGCCUGAAACAUUAGCACUCAGGUCAAAUGAUCUGUGCUUCUAUACAUCUGAUGGUGCUUUUAUCUGGAAGGACUGUAAACUUUAUGCCAACAGGCCUUUUGUUGUAUGGUUGGAAUUUAUUUUGCUGUGAUACAACAUUUAUGAUGCUGCCUCAGGCUGCAGUAAUUACGACGCUAUUUUUGUAUAGUGUAGGUUUAUCUUAAUAAUGUAAUCGGCCGAAAGCUUCGUAGGAGCCCAACAAGCCAACAUUCUUCGGGCCCAUUCCAAUUGGGCUAAAAACAAUUACGAGCCGAAAUUGGCAUGUAGCCCACUAAAAAUAUCUGGGCCUAAAUCAGCAUAAGUUUUCAUAUUUUUCUGGUAGGCCUGUGCCCAUAGUGGGCCUUUAACAUGCCUAAACAUAAUCUGGGCCCUCAAGUAAAAAUAGACCGUUUACAGGUGUAAAUAUCUCGAGCCCAUAAAAUACAUGGGCCUUUAAUAGACCUAAAGUGAGAUUGGGCCCUGAUUGUGCCAAAUAACCCACUGGACUUUAACAGGCCGAAAUUCGGACGGGCCGUAAAUGCGCCGACCUAAUACACAGUCCUUUAACAGGCCAGAGCUUCGGUCGGGCUAGAUUAUCGUCAUUUCUAUAUGGGCCGUUAAUGGGCCCGAUAUGACGUUGGGCCACAUAUGGCCCAUGGUUUACGUCCAGCUUUAACAGGCCGAAAAUGACAACAGACCGAAACUGGCCCAAAGCUAUAGUGGGCCUCUAACAGGCCGAAUGUCAGACAUGGCCGAAUAUGACCCACAUCCUUCACGGUCAUUUAUGGGCCGAAAGUUUUGAUGGCCUGUAAAUGGGCCCAAAUGAAGCCGGACCUUUAACAGGCCGGAAAUACACCAGGCCGUAAUUCGGCCCAAUUACUUAGCGGACUGUUAACGGGCCAGAAGUGACCAUGGGCCGCGUUGAUGACAAGUUUAGGACAGGCCGUUGACGGGCCGAUUUGAUAGAGAAUGUUGGGCCUUUAGCUGGGCCGACCCAUUAUGGUCGGCAGAAUCUUGUGGGCCUUUAGCUGGCCCGGCCCAUUAUGGUCCGCAAAAUCUUGUGGGCCUUUAGCUGGGCCAGCCCAUUAUGGUCUGCAAAAUCGUGUGGGCCUUUAGCUGGGUCGACCCAUUAUGGUCCGCUAAAUUUUGUGGGCCUUUAGCUGGGCCGGCCCAUUAUGGUCCGCUAAAUCUUAUGGGCCUUCGGUUGGGCUGGCCCAUUUAAUCUUUGUGGGCUACUUUUGGACCGGUCCACGUGUCAACAUAUCAUAGGCCCAUCUCGCCCGUUGGAUCCGUCAGCCAAUGAGAAUUUUACACGUGGAAAAUCGGCAUUGGUCGUGGCUGUUAACGGGUUAUCGGAUCCAAAAUCCGACCCGAUAGCUUAACGGCGUUCCGUUACGGUGGAUGCCACGUGUCGGUCACCCUUGACGAAAGCACUUCUGUGACACGCGAUUUAUCGUCAUGGAAGUGGACACUUCCAUGAUGAUAAUUUUGGCAAUGUCAUGGAACACUUCUAUGACAGCACAUGUAUGACUAUCUUGAUUCUGUCAUAAAUUUGUCAUGGAUGUACAUGCAUGACAGAAAACGCGACCUACUGUGACAAACACGUAUCAUCACGGAAGUGUAUUUUUUUGUAGUGAGAGCACCGCUGUCAUUUGCAUGUAUUAUUGUUAGUUUACAUUGAGUAUGACUUGACUGGAUCUCUUCUACCAUGAAUUACAAUGUCUAGUCAGUCCUUGAUCUUUAAAGGUGCUCUACAUUUAUGUUUUGCGGUUUCAGAAAUGGCUAGCGAGAUACCAUCUUUUUAUAUCAUAUUAUGAUUUUUUUGAGAAAGUGUUGUCAUCCAAGAUUUAUUAUUAUUGCUCGCUAGUUGAUUAUGCCGUUGAUAUGAGUAAACAUGAGACCUAAAUGUUAUUGUGAAUACGGUUAGUGUUGGGGAACGUAGUAAUUUUAAAAAAAAUUCCUACGCACACGCAAGAUCAUGGUGAUGCAUAGCAACUAGAGGGGAGAGUGUUGUCCACGUACCCUCAUAGACCGAAAGUGGAAGCGUUAGCACAACGCGGUUGAUGUAGUCGUACGUCUUCACGAUCCGACCGAUCAAGUACCGAACGUACGACACCUCCGAGUUCAGCACACGUUCAGCCCGAUGACGUCCCUCGAACUCCGAUCCAGCCGAGUGUUGAGGGAGAGUUUCGUCAGCACGACGGUGUGGUGACGAUGAUGAUGUUCUACCGGCGUAGGGCUUCGCCUAAGCACCGCUACAGUAUUAUCGAGGUGGACUAUUGUGGAGGGGGGCACCACACACGGCUAAAAGAUCAAACGAUCAAUUGUUGUGUCUAUGGGGUGCCCCCUGCCCCCGUAUAUAAAGGAGCAAGGGGGGUGCGGUCGGCCUAGAGAGGGGCGCGCCAGGAGGAGUCAUACUCCUACCGGGAGUAGGACUCCCCCUUUUCCUUGUUGGACUAAGAGAGAGAGGGGAAAGAGGUGGGAGGAGAAGAAGGAAGGGGCCCCCCCCCCUCUCCUUGUCCUAUUCGGACUAGGGGGGAGGGGGCGCAGCCCUUGCCCUGGCCGCCUCUCCUCUCUUCCACCAAAGUCCCAUUAAGGCUCAUUAAGGCCCAUUAAGUCCACGGGGGGUUCCGGUAACCUCCCGGUACUCCGGUAAAAUCCCGAUUUCACCCGGAACACUUCCGAUAUCCAAACAUAGGCUUCCAAUAUAUCAAUCUUCAUGUCUCGACCAUUUCGAGACUCCUCGUUAUGUCCGUGAUCACAUCUGGGACUCCGAACAACCUUCGGUGCAUCAAAACAUAUAAACUCAUAAUAUAACUCUCAUCGAAACGUUAAGCGUGCGGACCCUACGGGUUCGAGAACUAUGUAGACAUGACCGAGACACGUCUCCGGUCGAUAACCAAUAGCGGAACCUGGAUGUUCAUAUUAGCUCCGACAUAUUCUACGAAGAUCUUUAUCGGUCAGACCGCAUAACAACAUACGUUGUCCCUUUGUCAUCGGUAUGUUACUUGCCCGGGAUUCGAUCGUCGGUAUCUCAAUACCUAGUUCAAUCUCGUUACCAGCAAGUCUCUUUACUCGUUCCGUAAUACAUCUCGCAACUAACUCAUCAGUUGCAAUGCUUGCAAGGCUUAAGUGAUGUGCAUUACCGAGAGGGCCCAGAGAUACCUCUCCGACAAUCAGAGUGACAAAUCCUAAUCUUGAAAUACGCCAACCCAACAAGUACCUUUGGAGACACCUGUAGAGCACCUUUAUAAUCACCCAGUUACAUUGUGACGUUUGGUAGCACACAAAGUGUUCCCCCGGUAAACGGGAGUUGCAUAAUCUCAUAGUCAUAGGAACAUGUAUAAGUCAUGAAGAAAGCAAUAGCAACAUACUAAAUGUUCGGGUGCUAAGCUAACGGAAUGGGUCAAGUGAAUCACAUCAUUCUCCUAAUGAUGUGAUCUCAUUAAUCAAAUGACAACUCUUUGUCUAUGGUUAGGAAACUUAACCAUCUCUGAUCAAUGAGCUAGUCAAGUAGAGGCAUACUAGUGACAUACUGUUUGUCUAUGUGUUCACACAUGUAUUAUGUUUCUGGUUAAUACAAUUCUAGCAUGAAUAAUAAACAUUUAUCAUGAUAUAAGGAAAUAAAUAAUAACUUUAUUAUUGCCUCUAGGGCAUAUUUCCUUCAGUUAGUUCAUAAUCUUUGCUGAAAACUUGAAUGCUGGCUUUACAUAUUUGCAACAACAAGAGCAAACCGAGUUUGUAAAAGUUUUUCUUUAUCACUUUCAGUUUAUCAACUGAAUUGCUUGAGAACAAGCAAAUGUUUAAGCUUGCGGGAGUUGAUACGUAUCCGUCGUAUCUACUUUUCCAAACACUUUUGCCCUUGUUUUGGACUCUAACUUGCAUGGUUUGAAUGGAACUAACCCGGACUGACGCUGUUUUCAGCAGAAAAGCCAUGGUGUUAUUUUUGUGCAGAAAUAAAAGUUCUCGAAAUGACCUAAAAAUCAACUAAUAUUAUUUUUGGAAUAUAUAAAAAAUACUGGCGAAAAGAUCCACGUCAGGGGCCCACACCCUGUCCACGAGGGUGGGGGCGCACCUACCCCCUAGGCGCGCCCCUGCCUCGUGGGCCCCCUGAUGCUCCACCGAGGUCCAUCUUGACUCCAUUUAUUCGUGUUCGGGAGAAAAAAAACCAGAGAGAAGGAUUCAUCGCGGUUUACGAUAUGGAGCCGCCGCCAAGCCCUAAUCUCUCUCGGGAGGGCUGAUCUGGAGUCCGUUCGGGGCUCCGGAGAGGGGAAUCCGUCGCCAUCGUUAUCAUCAACCUUCGUCCAUCACCAAUUUCAUGAUGCUCACCGCCGUGUGUGAGUAAUUCCAUCGUAGGCUUGCUGGACGGUGAUGGGUUGGAUGUGAUUUAUCAUGUAAUCGAGUUAGUUUUGUUAGGGUUUGAUCCCUAGUAUCCACUAUGUUCUGAGAUUGAUGUUGCUAUGACUUUGCUAUGCUUAAUGCUUGUCACUAGGGCCCGAGUGCCAUGAUUUCAGAUCUGAACCUAUUAUGUUUUCAUGAAUGUAUCUGAGUUCUUGAUCCUAUCUUGCAAGUCUAUAGUCACCUAUUAUGUGUUAUGAUCCGUUAACCCCGAAGUGACAAUAAUCGGGAUACUUACCGGUGAUGAACGUAGUUUGAGGAGUUCAUGUAUUCACUAUGUGUUAAUGCUUUGGUCUGGUACUCUAUUAAAAGGAGGCCUUAAUAUCCCUUAGUUUCCAAUAGGCCCCCGCUGCCAUGGGAGGGUAGGACAAAAGAUGUCAUUCCAUAAGCACGUAUGACUAUAUUCGAAAUACAUGCCUACAUUACAUUGAUGAACUGGAGCUAGUUCUGUGUCACCUAGGUUAUAACUGUUGCAUGAUUGAUCGCAUCUGGCAUAAUUAUCCAUCACUGAUCCAUUGCCUACGAGCUUUUCAUAUAUUGUUCUUCGCUUAUUUACUUUUCCAUUGCUACUGUUACAAUCACUAUAAAACCAAAAAAAUUACUUUUGCUAUCGUUACCGCUAUUAUCAUAUUACUUUGCUGCAAAUAUUAAGUUUCUAGGUGUGGUUGAAUUGACAACUUAGCUGCUAAUACUUGAGAAUACUAUUUGGCUCCCCUUGUGUCGAAUCAAUAAAUUUGGGUUGAAUACUCUACCCUCGAAAACUGUUGCGAUCCCUGGGUUAUCAGGGAUCGAACGAGCUGCUCGUCUCCUGGCUCGGGCUCGAGCGCCUGGGGAAGACGGACGCGGCGGCAGGACGGCAGGCGAGGGCACGGCUUGGGGAGGCGGACGAGCUUGAGGCGCUAUGCUACCUGAAAACUCCAAGGACGCCAUGUCGGGCUUCCUGUACGAGCAGACAUAGAGAGAGAUAUGAGAAAGAGCAUGAGAAGGGAGAGGAAGGAAGGGAAGGUAAGGGCGGCGUGGUGGUGCUUGAGCACCGAGCGAGGUAGGGUGGAGGCCGGCAACAUGACCUACUGCUGCUGUUGUCGCCGACGACAUGGACGUGCGAGGCCGCGGGGAGGCGCUCGGUGCUCACGAUCCAUUCCGGAUCGAGCAGAGGAGGGAAGAGGAGGCAAGGCCUCGGGUGUCCUCGAUCAUGAAGGCGGGCGACGAGGCAAGGUGGUGGUGGAGCAUCUGGGCACGGGGACGCGAGCUCUUCUCGGCGGCCAUGGUGGAGGGCUCCUGUGGCAGCAAGGAAGAAAAACAAGAGAGCUGAGGAGAGCUCGGACGAGAAGAAACAAGAAGACAAAGGAGACCCGGCGAAGUGUUGUGGCCGGCUCCGGCGACGGGGUCCCGGAGGUGAGGCUCGGGCGAGCUCCUCUCGCGCUUGAGGACAGAGGAUGUUGCCUCGGUAUGAUCCAGAUCAAGCGGGGCUGAUGCUUGCACUGGUUGACUGCUGAUGAUUUGGGGAGAGGAAAACAAGGAAGGUGGUCAGGGAGGGUUUGGAUCGGGAGGAGAUCGUGAGGUGCGAGGUGGAGGCUGGUUGGUUGGGGAUGGAUCCCGAGGGGGAUUUGGUGGAGUGGCGGCGGCUGCGGGAUGGAAUGGAUGGAUGGGACAACCUAGGUCUAGGGUUAGGUUGUUUAUAUAGGUGGUUGGUUAGCUUAGGGGCUACUUGGUCCCUCCGAUCGUAAUCGGAUGGCCCAAAAUAAAUAGGUUAGGUAAUCUAAAUAAGAAACCAAAUAUGUUUUAGGGAUGUUUGGGGAUGAUCCGGACCCAUCGGUAACGACAGUGCGGUUCGGGUACGGAGAGUUUUGGACGCGGGUGAGGGAUUGAUGCAUUGUGCAAAGAGGGGUUAGGUGAUUUGACAAGAGGGAAUCAAAACCCGAUUGGACUCGGAUCAGUCAACAAAGGCAAGGGGGGACGCGACAACUACGAACGGAUGCAAGUUUUAUGAAAACGAUGGUAGCAGACAACCGAUGUAAUGCAAAUGAUGGCAUGAUGAAUGCAACAAACAAAUGAAACACACGGCAACAACGGAAAACAUGGAAGGCUUCUGGAGCGUCGGUCUUGGGUCGUCACAGGGCACUAGCGAUCGAGGGAUUCCAUUCGUCAACAACGGGGCACCAUCAAGGGCGAAUGGCAAAAGUGCGCAGGUUGCUCGACCAAUUUUGAUCGCAUGAACCCUAGUGGUUGCGGUGAUAGUGACAUGGUAAUUGCUUUGCUACUUUUGUGUAUUUUUCUACAUUUGCCCAAGUAUGCAUAUGUUCCUAAAAUGAUGAUGCUAUUUUUGUUGUCUUGUUGUAGAAAAUGAUUGCCUAAGGUUUGUUCCGAGAAAGAAACAAGAACGGGGAGAAGAAGAAAAAGAAUGGAAACCCCUUCAUUUUCCAUCAUUGCUACAAAAGAGCUCAAGGAUGAGAAGUGGAAGAAUCGAGAAAUUUAUCUCCGAGGAAGAAAAGUUUGAUUGUUGAUCAUGAAGAUGAAGAUGAUGAUGGUGGGGGCGAGGAGAGAAAAAUGAGCCUCACUCCUCACUCAAUGACCAAAACAUAUAGGCCGGACGAAAGUGAAAAAAGCAAAGGGUUCGAAGGCCAGAGAUAAUGAUCAUAAAGAAGGAUUUGACGUCAUUGUCAUUCAAGGAAAGGGUAUGCUGAAGAAAAAAUGUUCAAAUUGAAAGAAAUGGAGGAGGGUGCUGGGAGCCAAGCGACGAAGGUUGGCGGCCGAGGAGAGAAAGGUGGAACCAGAGGAGAGAAAGGUGGCGGCCAAUGAGCUCAAGAUGAUGGAGGAGAAGGCCCUCGAGUUUAUGUUUAUGGACACAAGUGGCCUCGCCCCCAAAGCAAAAGCAUAUGUCGAGCUUUGUCGCGACAAAAUGAUUAUGAAGAAGACCAUCCUAACGAGAAACAUGAUGAGAGGAGGAAUGGGAGGAACAUCAUGUGCCAUUAUUGGUGGAAUUGGAGGAGGAAUGGAUUGAAUAGGGGUUGUCAUGGGCGGAUGGGAGGAGGAAUAGGAGGUGCCAUGGGUGAUGGCUUUGGUGACAACAUGUGUGGUGCCUUCAGUGGCACCAUUGAAGGUGCCUGAGGGAGUCCUGGAUUAGGGGGUCUCCGGACAGCCGGACUAUCUCCAUUGGCCAGACUGUUAGACUACGAAGAUACAAGAUUGAAGACUUCGUCUCGUGUCCGGAUGGGACUCUACUUGGCAUGGAAGGCAAGCUAGGCAAUACGAAUAUGGAUAUCUCCUCCUUUGUAACCGACCUUGUGUAACCCUAACCCUCUCCGGUGUCUAUAUAAACCGAAGGGUUUUAGUCCGUAGGACAACAAUCAUAACAUACAAUCAUACCAUAGGCUAGCUUCUAGGGUCUAGCCUCUCUGAUCUCGUGGUAGAUCUACUCUUGUACUACCCAUAUCAUCAAUAUUAAUCAAGCAGGAUGUAGGGUUUUACCUCCAUCAAGAGGACCUGAACCUGGGUAAAACUUCGUGUCUCCUGCCUCCUGUUACCAUCCGGCCUAGACGCACAGUUUGGGACCCCCUACCCGAGAUCCGCCGGUUUUGACACCGACAGUGCCUUUAGUGGCAACAUGAAUGGUGGCUUCGGUGGCAACAUGAGUGACAUGGGAGGUGGAUUCGAUGGCAACAUGAGUGGCAUGAGAGGUGGCUUUGAUGACAACAUGACUGGCAUGGAGGUGCUUCCGGUAGAGGUGGCGGCAUCAAUGCAUCAACAAAUUGAGAACGUCGACAAAAAAGCCAUUGAAGAUGAUGAUGCAAUGUUUACAGUGUGACUAAUGAUAACGAAGAGGAUGAAAGUUGAGAUGCUAUGUUUAUAUGCAUUUUUAUUUGUUGGAUCCGAAUUUCGUUUGAUAUGAUGCACUUCUAUUUGUUGCAUUAUGACUAUAUUUGGUAUAAAAUUUGAGUUCAUGUUGAGUUUAAAAAUAUUGUUCAUUAAAGAGGCGGAAGACGAAAAAAAUUUAAGGUGUAGUGAAUUCUUAAGUCAUUGUUUUUGAUGCACACGCUUGCUCAACGGCGACACCUAGCCCACGGCCAUUGUUGGCCAUCUGCCAGUCCCGUCAUCCGUCUCAUCCUAGCCAGCAGCCGCCAUGCUUUCUAGGAUUGCUGCUGCAUAAAAGUGUAGUUUUUGUUUUGAGAACCGCCCUCUCGACAAUUUAUUUAAGUGUUAAGGGGAUUUGCAUCCGACUGUACAAAUGUCAAUCAGACAAGUAGGGAUUACAUCAAGAGACAAAGAGCUAGCACCAAUAUUAAGCGCGUCCUAAGCGCAUGCAUGAGCAGCUCCAUUCGCUCCUCUCUUGACCCAUUGAAGCUUGAAUCCCUGAAAAAAUUGGAUAUAGAUUUUCAUCUCCCUAAAAACCUUGCUUCGUGGGUGUGUACUUGGUUAGCGGCUUCGUGCAUCAAAGCUCAGGCUGGUUCGUGCAUCGUGUGUACUGGCUUGGUUUGUUCGUGGGCUGCAUCUGUGUGGCCCAGUUAUCAGCGAACCGCCUCUUUCUCUCGUAGUGACAUUUCCCAGCAUUGCAUGGCUUCUAGGAUAUCCACCGAUAGCAGUAGAUACAUACAUAUAAAAUUUUCAUUUCACCCAAUCAAGGUAUGGCGGCCGCCAUGCCUUGCCCACUGGGAUGCUCCGUCAGUGGUUCAUUUUACAUAUCUAUGGGAUAAUUUUGAUUGAAGGAGUGCGGCUAUACAACGGUUGAAGUGCGGCUGAAAUGCUUAUGUACAUCGGCUAUAGCGAGGCCAUUGGCCGUUUUACAUUAUUUGUUGGAGCACUACCUUUACAUUAUCAAUUAUACGUGAAUUGAAUGUUUUUUUAAUGUAAAAAGCAUAUUUGGAUGAUGUAAAUUAUUUAUCUAUCACUUUUUGACGAUGUACUUUACAUAUUGGAGAUGCUGCUUAUAGAAGCUUCGGAUAAGUUCAUUUUUUCUGGUAAUUUUCGAGCUGCUUAUCUUAUGCAUCAUAAGAACAACAAGAGAGGAUUAGCUUCGAUUUUUACCAUGAAUGAUGAUGGCUUCCUUCCUUCGUAUUAGCAGCAGCAGCCGCAGUCAACAGAGCAGCACAGGCGGCUAGAGUUUAAUCCCCACACGGCAUCAGAUGGCCGGCGCGGGCUCGUCGGACGCGGAGGCGGAGCUGCGGCGGGGCUUCAAGGCCUUGGCCGUGACGCGGCCCGACCCGGCGGCUGCGGUGUACGAGGUGCGCCUCAGCCGCCCGGCGCAGCUCAACGCGCUCAGCCCGGACUCCUUCGCGGAGAUCCCGCGCGCCAUGGCGCUGCUCGACCGCAUCCCCGCCGCGCGCGCCGUCGUGCUGUCCGCCGCGGGCCCCCACUUCUGCGCGGGCAUCGAGCUCGGCGGGCCCGGGAACCCGCUCACCGCGCCCCCCGCCCGCGGCGCCGACCCCGCGGCCAUGGCGGAGGAGCUCCGCCGCGCGAUCCUGGGCAUGCAGGCCGCGCUCACCGCCGUCGAGCUGUGCCGGAAGCCCGUCAUCGCGGCCGUGCACGGCGCCUGCGUCGGCGGUGGCGUCGAACUGGUGGCCGCCUGCGACAUACGCUGCUGCUCCAAGGACGCCACCUUCGUGCUCAAGGAGGUGGACAUGGCCAUCGUCGCCGACCUCGGCGCGCUGCAGCGCCUGCCGCGGAUCGUCGGCUACGGGAACGCGGCGGACCUCGCGCUCACCGGCCGCAGGAUCACCGCCGCGGAGGCCAAGGAGAUGGGGCUCGUCACCAGGGUGUUCGAUUCCAAGCAGGAGCUGGAUGCCGGUGUUGCGAAGAUUGCCAAAGGUAUGAUUUCUCUCUGUUGUUCUUUCUUUUCAGUGCUGUUGCCUCUGUUCUGUAUUCUGCUAAAAUGUUUAACAUGAAUUGUGCAAUUCAAAGUUCAAACUAAUAAGGGAUGUUGCCUGGAGUUUCACAACCCACAAAAGAGUCAUUGUUUGCAGAACUUAAGAUUCCAUUACAUCAUUAUGUAGUUCUUGUUGGUAAGAAAAAGAACAAGGGUGUCUCUCUUGGGUAUCUGUGUAUAUGCUGUCAAUAAAUCUUGUUUGUACUCUGAUUGCAGUUGAUCUAACUAGAAUCCGUAGAUCCAUUUGGCUGGAUAAUCUUUGAUUUUAUGUCAGUCAGAACCCGUUGGUUCUGAAAAAAGAGAGGUUAAACUUCAUGUUAGUAACUUCACAGCACGCAUGAAUUGCGUCUUUAAAUACAGUUGGUGACCUGCUGGUAUUUGAAUAUAGUAUCUAGUUCAGCUUAAACGUUUCACAGGCUUUCUAGAAUUCCAACUCUCCCAACUUUCAUAAAGAUUCAUCUAUAUUCUCAUUUCCUGGUUUUUGCGCAUUUGCUAUAGUGUGCUUAGUGUCCUAUCCUGUAAAAAAAAGGGCAACCUGGUGCAUGUAGCUCCCGCUUGCGCAGGGUCCAGGGAAGGGUCCGACCACUUUGGGUCUAUAUAGUGUCCUAUCCUGUAAGUGCUGGCUUAAAUGUUUCUCUUACUACAUUAAGUAGCAAAAUCCACCACUCUCUUGAUUGGCUGCAGAGGCGCUGCGCUCCAUUUCCCAACAUGAAAAGUGAACUGGAAAGUUUGGGUCAUAUAGUUAGUGCUGGUAGUUUGAAGUCAAAUGCACUUGAAUCAAUCCAGCAAAGCAUUGUAUAAUGGUUUAAAGGGUUUGCAAUUUACUAGUGUCACCCCUCUAUCAAGUCAGAAGCAAGUUGGAUUUGUUCAUCCAAGUUGUAAGUAAAUGCACAUAUGUAGGUCUGACUGUUCCAUGUUCAUAGGGUGUUACCAUAAUUCAGAUUCAUGCAUAAGAUGUCCCUGCGUAAACCAGUUUCUUGUUAACUAUGCCUACCACUUUUUCUCCAGCAACUAUGUAACUCAACAAGUUGCGAUCAAUGAUAACUAAGAGACUUUGUUUUUUAACUGUUUCAGAAAUAUCAGAGAAGUCGGCAAACGCAGUGAUGGGAACAAAGGCAGUUCUACUCAGAAGCAGAGAUAUCACUGUAGAGCAGGGCCUGGAGCAUGUAGCGACUUGGAACUCUGGAAUGCUGAGAUCUGAUGACCUGAUGGAGGCCAUCAAAGCUUUCAUGGAGAAGCGGAAGCCUGUUUUCUCUAAGCUCUGAUGAUCAAUAUCACAGGCAGAAUUUAUAUGUGAAUCCUAGCCACUUGAGAAUAAAAUGAGAUGGUAGAAAUUAGACAAGAUAUACUAUCUCUGAAUUGGAAAACAAGUGCUUUUGUUGAUUGUAUCUUGUAUGUAUAUCAUAUAUAAAGUGAGAAUUUUCCAGAAAUUCCUUAGCACUACUGAUGUCCAUAUUGAUUAGUG
rnacentral:lncRNA from 1 species